rnacentral:lncRNA from 1 species
AAGUCGGAGUGUGUUUCCCGUAUGUGUGCAUGUACCGGAAGUCCCGUUUAAGCUGCACUGGUGGUUGGUUUUGGUUCAAAAUGGAACAAUGAAAAAUACCUUUAAUAUUGGGUUGCUUAUAUAUUUUCACCAUAGAUGUGGAAAUCAUAAUAGGCUAUUAAUAAAAUUAUAAAUUAUACAUGUGGCCUUUAAAUAUCUUUUCUACGUACCCUUGUUAUUAAUUAAUUACUAAAAUCAAAAGAAAUUUCCUUCUCAAUUACAUGUCGUUGAGUUUUCCACCUAGAUAUGUGUUGUAUUUUUUUAUCUUAUUAAAAUAACAUAAAAUCUUAUUUACUCUCAAUCAAAAUCAAUCUAGAAUAUAAGGGUGUCUCUAUGUACUUCUCUAGGUGUGUGUUUAAUUGUUUUUUUUGUUGCAUAUAUGCAAAUAUCAAGUCAUAAAAACAUGUUUUACCUUAAUAAACACAACCAGGUGUUACUAAAAAAAUAUAAUCAUAAAAACCUAUAAUGAAAUAUAGAUAUACAAAUCAAGGAUAGAGGGAAAAGAAAUAUCUUCAAAUAAUAGAUGGAAAAUAGUGUUUUAUUUCUUUCUUCAUUACGAGAACUACGAUCUUUGGCUCUGGAACUGAAUCAUUUCCUUGUAUCUGAGAAAGACUUCCAGAUUCAAAGGAAGGAAGUUUAAUUGGACUGAAUCAGAAAUUUUAUUCUAUGAUUGAUCAGUAUAAACAUCAACACCUUCGAAUUGGAUCAGUUUCUCCUGAACAAAUAAGUGCUUGGGCAAAAAAAAUCCUACCUAAUGGAGAAAUUGUUGGAGAGGUAACAAAACCCUAUACUCUUCAUUACAAAACCAAUAAGCCUGAAAAAGAUGGAUUAUUUUGUGAACGAAUUUUUGGGCCUAUAAAAAGUGGGAUUUGUGCUUGUGGAAAUUAUCGAGUAAUCGGAGAUAAAAAAGACCAACCCAAAUUUUGUGAACAAUGCGGAGUAGAAUUUGUUGAUUCUCGGGUACGUAGGUAUCAAAUGGGGUAUAUAAAACUAGCAUGUCCAGUAACCCAUGUAUGGUAUUUGAAACGUCUUCCUAGUUAUAUUGCGAGCCUUUUAGAUAAACCUCUUAAAGAAUUAGAAGGUCUAGUAUACUGCGAUGUGUGAUUUGAUAAAAAUUCUUAUUGUACAGAUUUCAAAUGAGAAACUGUCAUUCCAUUCAAUUAAAUUGGAAUGUCCUCUAUCUGGCAUGUCUCUUGGGAUGAGUAACAUGAAGCUCAGAAUUCAUGGGUGUAUUGAAUACUCCCAAAUCAAUAAGGGAAUUGGUCUAUGGUCAAUUCAGUAACAAAUAAAUAUUUAUUUAUAACCGUACGUACCUUGUGAAAAAAAAAAAAUUAUUUUUUUGUGGAAUUAAUUAUUUCAUCUCUUUUUUUUUUAAGAACUUAAAUUAAGUUCAAAGAAUAAAAUAUAAUAUAUCAUGAUUGCCGAAGUCUAUCUAUCGCAUAUAGGCUUAAAGACAUCGUGGCAUAACCGUCGAGGUGACGUCUUGACCUAAAAGAUCAAAUGGUAUGAUACAUAGACAAAGAAAUCUCUUAUGAAUUCGAGGAUAUUCCUUUUUUUUAUUAAAAAGUAUAUUUUAAAGGAUUCUUCGUUCGAAGGGAGGUAGACUACUCAAGAAUUUUACAUUGAAUUUCUGUCGUAAUUUCGAAUUGCAUAAAGAAUUCAGAAACAAAGAAGAAUGUAUCAAUGAAAUGUUGCUUCGUCUGUAUUGAUAACUUGAGUAAAGAGUAAACCUUUUUUAUUUUAGAUUUAGAGGUUUUCAAAAAUUUGAAAACGGAAACCACUUUCUUUAUCUUUAUUGUGUGUAAAUACUUUAGCCGGAUGAGAGGAAACCCUCACGUCCGAUUUUCAAAGGGGGAGAUCCAUCUUAUUGGAUCCUAUCCAAAUUUUUCGUUUGCUAGGCCCGUAGUUAAAAAACCUACUUUCUUACGAUUACGAGGUUCAUUCGAAUACGAAAUCCAAUCUUGGAAAUACAGUAUCCCACUCUUUUUUGCUACUCAAGGUUUCGAUACAUUUCGAAAUAGAGAAAUUUCUAGUGGAGCAGGUGCUAUACGAGAACAAUUAGUUGAUUUGGAUUUAAGAAUUAUUAUGGAUUCUUCGUUGGUAGAAUGGAAAGAAUUAGGAGAAGAGGGAUCCGCCGACAAUGAAAAUGAAAAUGAAUGGGAAGAUCGAAAAGUAGGAAGAAGAAAGAAUUUUUUGGUUCGACGCAUGGAAUUAGUUAAGCACUUUAUCCGAACAAAUAUAGAACCAGAAUGGAUGGUUUUAUCUCUCUUACCAGUUCUUCCUCCCGAAUUGAGACCAAUUAUUCAAAUAGAUGGAGGGAAACUAAUGAGUUCGGAUAUUAAUGAACUCUAUAGAAGAGUUAUCUAUCGGAACAAUACUCUUAUUGACCUAUUAACAACAAGUAGAUCUACACCAGGGGAAUUAGUAAUGUGUCAAGAAAAAUUGGUACAAGAAGCCGUGGAUACACUCCUUGAUAAUGGAAUCCGCGGACAACCAAUGAGGGACGGUCAUAAUAAAGUUUACAAAUCGUUUUCAGAUAUAAUUGAGGGCAAAGAGGGAAGAUUUCGAGAGACUCUGCUUGGAAAACGAGUUGAUUAUUCGGGGCGUUCUGUUAUUGUCGUAGGUCCAUCACUUUCAUUACAUCGAUGUGGAUUGCCCCGCGAAAUAGCAAUAGAGCUAUUUCAGACAUUUCUAAUUCGUGGUUUAAUUCGAAAACAUUUUGCUUCGAACAUAGGAGUUGCUAAGAGUAAAAUACGGGAAAAAGAACCGAUUGUAUGGGAAAUACUUCAAGAAGUUAUGCGGGGGCAUCCAGUAUUGCUGAAUAGAGCGCCUACUUUGCAUAGAUUGGGCAUACAGGCAUUUCAACCUAUUUUAGUAGAAGGACGUGCUAUUUGUUUACAUCCAUUAGUGUGUAAGGGAUUCAAUGCAGACUUUGAUGGGGAUCAAAUGGCUGUUCAUGUGCCUUUAUCUUUGGAGGCUCAAGCAGAAGCUCGUUUACUUAUGUUUUCUCAUACAAACCUCUUGUCUCCGGCUAUUGGGGAUCCCAUUUCCGUACCAACUCAAGAUAUGCUUAUAGGACUUUACGUAUUAACUAGCGGAAAUCGUCGAGGUAUUUGUGCAAACAGGUAUAAUCCGUUUAAUUGCCGAAAUUCUAAAAAUGAAAAAAUUAGCAAUAAUAACUCUAAGUAUAUGAAAAAAAAAGAACCCUUUUUUUGCAAUUCCUAUGAUGCAAUUGGAGCUUAUCGACAGAAAAGAAUAAAUUUAGAUAGUCCUUUUUGGCUCCGGUGGCGAAUAGAUCAAUGCAUUAUGUCUUCAAGAGAAGUUCCUAUCGAAGUUCACUAUGAAUCUUUUGGUACCUAUUAUGAAAUUUAUGGGCAUUAUUUAGUAAUAAGAAGUAUAAAAAAAGAAAUUCGUUGUAUAUACAUUAGAACCACUGUUGGUCAUAUUUCUUUUUAUCGAGAAAUUGAAGAAGCUAUACAAGGUUUUUCUCGAGCCUAUUCAUAUGGUAUCUAAUCAUAUAGAUGGUUAGUGUUGAUAUCCAAGCUAGGUAAAUUUAUGUUAUGAUACUGGCGUAAAUUCAGGUCAACUAGCAUCUUUUCUAUUUUCUACGUGAAUAAACAUAAAGAAAAGGAAGUUUUCCAAUCAUUCACUCAAAUUCAUUGUCGAACCGAAUCCCACUGAGUGGAAUAUGGAGGUACUUAUGGCAGAACGGGCCAAUCUAGUCUUUCACUUUCUUCCAUGCUUAGUGCGCAUGAUAGAAAGAGUCGAGCUUUGGAGUUUAGAAGUACUUUUUCUUUAUCUUCCUUUGACCAUGAUGCUUCUGGUGUGAGUGUAUCCACCUUUGUUGUUGCAUCAGUUGUCAUAGGUAUAUGUUCUCCAUUUGUGAUUAUUUUCCACAUAUCCACGUCUUGGGAUCUGAGGAAUAGUUUCAUUUUUCCUUUCCAGAAAUAAUAGUUCUUUCCAUUGAAGAAUGGUGGUCUUGUGCAUGAUAGACCUUCUGGUAUGUACUUUUCUUUUGACAUUGCCUUCUUCCUGAAUCUUUUCCUCCAACACUUGUUAGGUGUUUUUGUAGAGCCCGGGCUCUGAUACCAAUUAAAGUAGCAAUAAACGUCACAAGAAAGGGGGGGUUUGAAUUGUGACCCUUUUAAAAAUUAUUCCUGAAACUUAAGUUUAGAUUUAUAUACUCAAGAAUAAUCUUGGUGUAUGUUAGCUUAACAAGAUUAGAGUAUAUAACAAUUAAUUGAAUUUAGAACAGAACAUUCUGAAGACUGAUUAUAAACAGAAUGAGAAAAAUGAUGUUAAGUUAAAAGAUUAUUUUAGCAAGGACCAGAAUGUUCUGGAGAUUAAUAAAAUAAUGUGUGUGUGUGUUGUGUAACUUUAAAUAAAGAGAGAGAUAGAGAUAGAGAGAGAGAGAGAGAAGAAUAACACAGGAGAGUUAUCCUGGUUCACCAAACCCGGCUACUUCCAGUCCCCACACCUCGUGUGAGAUUAUCCACUAUAGUUUUCUUGCUAACAGAAACUUCUGACUAGCACUACAAUAUCUUGAUCACACCAGAUCAGUCCGUAACCUCUGUAUUAUCAACCUCAGCAGGCUUAUACAAUUCUUUGCACACUAGCAAAAGAAAGGUUGGAAUUUUCUAUCUCAAAACUAUUAAGCCCAAUAGACUUUGAGAAAUACAACACUCUUUGUAUGAAGAGAUUUGUUUUGGAUCGAAUAAAUACUCAAAUCUUUGUUUGAGUUUUACAAGAGGCAAAUUCAAGAGAGAUGAUCCAAGAGAUAUAGUGAGAGAGCUUGGAAUUUGCUUUGUUUGUGAAGAGCUUUGUUUGUAGUGAUGAUUUUCACUUUGAGAGAUAUUAGCUUGCAAAACUCUUGCUUAUGACCUUCAAAGGCCCUUGUAUUUAUAGGUGAGGAGUGUCUUGGUACCAAGGGAGAAAAUAGAGCUGUUGGACACGUUUUUGAUAGCUGUCCAAAGUCUCAAUUGAUUUCUCUUUUCUUCUUUAAAAUAGCCAGAACGUUCUCAGAAUGUUCUUUCUGAUUUGCCUGACUUAGAAAGCACUGUUGCUUUGCUUGCGCAUGAGAUAACCAGCUGUGAUGAGCUGUAUAACUUGCAGCCCACUUCUGAUGAUGUCAUGUCCUUUUGCUCUAGUGAUGUCAUGCUUAAGUAAGCCAUGUGAUCUUAUCCAUUUAAUGGGCUUUACUUUUUCAAAUGGGCUUAAAGCUUUUCUUAUGGCCCAAUAGACAUAAUCAGCCAAGCUUUCUUGCUGUGCAGACUUGUUCGCUUUUGAUGUACUGUUCCAUUUUCAUCGUUUUCGCCAGAACGUUCUCAAUUCAUUCUCAUGAAACAAAUUCUCACAAAAACGAAUUAGUAGAUAACAAGAUUAAAUAAAUAUAAUAUGUUUGUAAUCUUUAAAACAUCAAAUAAGGAUUUUGUCUCAACAACUUUGUCCUCCGCACGAUUUAUUAGGAGCUUUGUCCUCCGCACGUUUAAAGUAUAUUAAUACUUAUGAUGACGAUUGGUACCACAUGCAUAUAAGGAGUCUAAGAGCAUUGUCGCAUUGUCGUGUCUAAGAUGCUAUGUUGUUGAUGAUGAUUGAAUAUGUGAUUACGUGAUAAUUGUUUAUCAAAUAUGCAAAGUUGUUUAAGAUUGAAUAUGAUGUUAAUGUUAAUUUAUGAUUCGAAUUACAUUGAUUAAUAUUAUUUUGUUAUGAAAUCUCACCCCUUCUGCUUGAAAAUGUUGCCCUUCGUAUGGGUAACUUGCAGGUGAUCGUGCUUAGUGUGCAGUUUGCCGUUGUGAGUGGCCUUGCCUCGCUGUGUCGUCUAGGUCGCUCUGAUACGUAACGGGAUGGGGUUUUAUGUUAUGCAUGCUUCAUUCUCUUACGUAACUAAUAUGUUAUUUUUAUAAUAUUAUCAAUUAUGAUUUGAAAUAUUUUGAUGGGGCCUGCGUGCCGAAACGUUUUAUGGAUUAUGAUAUAAUUUCCGCUGCAAUGUUUAAGUUAUUUGGUUAAAUUAUUAUUUAACUGUUUUGGAUUAUGUUAUAUGUGAUAUCCCGUUGUUUACGAUGCUUACUCUGAUAAAUGUUUUAAGAAAUUUUUAUAUUGGGAAAACGGAGUGUUACAGAAACUCCCCCUAUAAAUACCGCAUUCCUCAUUCACAAUUUCUCAUUCAUAACGAAGUGGUUCAAGAGGAAUGCAGUCACUAUGCAUCUAGGGAGGAUUCUCUCUCUUCACUCCAAAUUUUUCUAGAGUAUUUUUAUUUCUUUUAUAAUUUCUCUUUAGUUACCAUGGGUAACUAAAUCUUUUUAGGCUUGGGUUCUAAGAUUAACCUCUAUUCUGGUUGUUGGAUAAUUUAUGUAAAGUCUUUAUUUUAGUUAUUUAUCUUUAUGCUACUAGUUUUACUGUUGUUGCGUAAGAUUUGUCUACUAAAGCAUAAUCUACUUAGAAUAAUUGAACGUGAGUUAACUGUUAAUUAAUUCCAACAAAAUGAAUAGAGAUGAUUCAAAUUAUGUUCAAUAUUUAAGCUAACUGUGUCCUCUAUUUAAAUUAAUUGUUAUAUAUUAUAAACCUGAUAUAGCAUAGCCUAUAUAGGGCUCACAUGAAGCGAUCACAAUCGAUAAAACUAUAUUCUAUAGCUAACGGUUGAUCCUACAAUACGCUCAAUCAAUGCAAAAAUAUGUUGUCACCUAUUGGGUUCAUAUUUCUAUAAAUAACUUUGCCACGGCCAAACAGUAUUAUUUCUCUUUUGUGUUUUUUUCUUUUUAUAUCAUGAAAGGUCAAAAUAAUGGAUAUUUGUUAAAAUAAAAUAGCAUGAAUCCUUAUCAUUGAUGAGUUUUUUAUAUGACCUCCUUACUAAGCAUGAUAAAGAAACAAAUUGAACACAUUGAUGCAUUUAAGAGAUAUUUAAUAAUUAUUCUAAUUUUAAAAAGUAUCUAUAAUAUACAUAAAGAAAACUACCUCCUUUCAACACUUUUGGGUUGAAUUUUUCUUUCUAAAAAUGUCAUCAAUUUUCAAUACAAAUAAUACAUAUAAUAAAUAGACAAGAAUAAAUUUAAAUAUUAAAAAAACGUAACAAAUACGAUAUGAAUAUAUAUAUAUAUAUAUAUAUAUAUAUAUAUAUAUGUGUGUGUGUGUUUUUUUUUUCUUUAUCAUUUAAAAAGUGUAACAAACUAAAUGAGUAUAUUUAUAUUUAAUUUUUUCCAAUUACAUCUUUAAACAACUUUUUCUAUAAUAAAGAUUGUUGUUGGUGUUAUUGAAAUAAAUAAUCAUGUUUAAUUUGGUUUGUUAUACCUAGAAAGCAACAAAAAUUUAUAUUUUUAGUUUUAAUCAAAAUCAAAAUUUCAUAAAAAAAAAAAUAUAAUUCAUAAUUUUCAAAUUUUAACGCGGUAAAAAGAGUGAAAAUACGGGCACGUAAGUGCCCAUCUUUACGCUAAUUUUUAUAAUUGCAUAAGUGACUUUUUAGCUGAUGAAACGAUAUCAUAAUCUUUAUAAAUUGUAAAACCACAUUCUAUUUGUUAUAUGCAAAAGGCGAGAAAUAUGGCUAAACUUGUCAAGCUUGUUUAUGUUAUAAUUGUGUUUUAUACCCUAUUUCUUGUUGCAACGGAAAUUGUUUGUGAGCUAAUUUUUCAUACUCUUGAAAUUUCCUUUUAUUUCUUUUUAUCUCGUUUUAGUAACAUUAUUUUGUUCUUUUUCCUUCAAUACAGCGGGUAUUCCUUGUAACGAUGAUGUUGAUUGUCCACAGACUCUGUGUGAACAGUUAAUUGCCGACUUCAAGUAUAUGAUAGAUUUUAAGUCGGAGUGUGUUUCCCGUAUGUGUGCAUGUACCGGAAGUCCCGUUUAAGCUGCACUGGUGGUUGGUUUUGGUUCAAAAUGGAACAAUGAAAAAUACCUUUAAUAUUGGGUUGCUUAUAUAUUUUCACCAUAGAUGUGGAAAUCAUAAUAGGCUAUUAAUAAAAUUAUAAAUUAUACAUGUGGCCUUUAAAUAUCUUUUCUACGUACCCUUGUUAUUAAUUAAUUACUAAAAUCAAAAGAAAUUUCCUUCUCAAUUACAUGUCGUUGAGUUUUCCACCUAGAUAUGUGUUGUAUUUUUUUAUCUUAUUAAAAUAACAUAAAAUCUUAUUUACUCUCAAUCAAAAUCAAUCUAGAAUAUAAGGGUGUCUCUAUGUACUUCUCUAGGUGUGUGUUUAAUUGUUUUUUUUGUUGCAUAUAUGCAAAUAUCAAGUCAUAAAAACAUGUUUUACCUUAAUAAACACAACCAGGUGUUACUAAAAAAAUAUAAUCAUAAAAACCUAUAAUGAAAUAUAGAUAUACAAAUCAAGGAUAGAGGGAAAAGAAAUAUCUUCAAAUAAUAGAUGGAAAAUAGUGUUUUAUUUCUUUCUUCAUUACGAGAACUACGAUCUUUGGCUCUGGAACUGAAUCAUUUCCUUGUAUCUGAGAAAGACUUCCAGAUUCAAAGGAAGGAAGUUUAAUUGGACUGAAUCAGAAAUUUUAUUCUAUGAUUGAUCAGUAUAAACAUCAACACCUUCGAAUUGGAUCAGUUUCUCCUGAACAAAUAAGUGCUUGGGCAAAAAAAAUCCUACCUAAUGGAGAAAUUGUUGGAGAGGUAACAAAACCCUAUACUCUUCAUUACAAAACCAAUAAGCCUGAAAAAGAUGGAUUAUUUUGUGAACGAAUUUUUGGGCCUAUAAAAAGUGGGAUUUGUGCUUGUGGAAAUUAUCGAGUAAUCGGAGAUAAAAAAGACCAACCCAAAUUUUGUGAACAAUGCGGAGUAGAAUUUGUUGAUUCUCGGGUACGUAGGUAUCAAAUGGGGUAUAUAAAACUAGCAUGUCCAGUAACCCAUGUAUGGUAUUUGAAACGUCUUCCUAGUUAUAUUGCGAGCCUUUUAGAUAAACCUCUUAAAGAAUUAGAAGGUCUAGUAUACUGCGAUGUGUGAUUUGAUAAAAAUUCUUAUUGUACAGAUUUCAAAUGAGAAACUGUCAUUCCAUUCAAUUAAAUUGGAAUGUCCUCUAUCUGGCAUGUCUCUUGGGAUGAGUAACAUGAAGCUCAGAAUUCAUGGGUGUAUUGAAUACUCCCAAAUCAAUAAGGGAAUUGGUCUAUGGUCAAUUCAGUAACAAAUAAAUAUUUAUUUAUAACCGUACGUACCUUGUGAAAAAAAAAAAAUUAUUUUUUUGUGGAAUUAAUUAUUUCAUCUCUUUUUUUUUUAAGAACUUAAAUUAAGUUCAAAGAAUAAAAUAUAAUAUAUCAUGAUUGCCGAAGUCUAUCUAUCGCAUAUAGGCUUAAAGACAUCGUGGCAUAACCGUCGAGGUGACGUCUUGACCUAAAAGAUCAAAUGGUAUGAUACAUAGACAAAGAAAUCUCUUAUGAAUUCGAGGAUAUUCCUUUUUUUUAUUAAAAAGUAUAUUUUAAAGGAUUCUUCGUUCGAAGGGAGGUAGACUACUCAAGAAUUUUACAUUGAAUUUCUGUCGUAAUUUCGAAUUGCAUAAAGAAUUCAGAAACAAAGAAGAAUGUAUCAAUGAAAUGUUGCUUCGUCUGUAUUGAUAACUUGAGUAAAGAGUAAACCUUUUUUAUUUUAGAUUUAGAGGUUUUCAAAAAUUUGAAAACGGAAACCACUUUCUUUAUCUUUAUUGUGUGUAAAUACUUUAGCCGGAUGAGAGGAAACCCUCACGUCCGAUUUUCAAAGGGGGAGAUCCAUCUUAUUGGAUCCUAUCCAAAUUUUUCGUUUGCUAGGCCCGUAGUUAAAAAACCUACUUUCUUACGAUUACGAGGUUCAUUCGAAUACGAAAUCCAAUCUUGGAAAUACAGUAUCCCACUCUUUUUUGCUACUCAAGGUUUCGAUACAUUUCGAAAUAGAGAAAUUUCUAGUGGAGCAGGUGCUAUACGAGAACAAUUAGUUGAUUUGGAUUUAAGAAUUAUUAUGGAUUCUUCGUUGGUAGAAUGGAAAGAAUUAGGAGAAGAGGGAUCCGCCGACAAUGAAAAUGAAAAUGAAUGGGAAGAUCGAAAAGUAGGAAGAAGAAAGAAUUUUUUGGUUCGACGCAUGGAAUUAGUUAAGCACUUUAUCCGAACAAAUAUAGAACCAGAAUGGAUGGUUUUAUCUCUCUUACCAGUUCUUCCUCCCGAAUUGAGACCAAUUAUUCAAAUAGAUGGAGGGAAACUAAUGAGUUCGGAUAUUAAUGAACUCUAUAGAAGAGUUAUCUAUCGGAACAAUACUCUUAUUGACCUAUUAACAACAAGUAGAUCUACACCAGGGGAAUUAGUAAUGUGUCAAGAAAAAUUGGUACAAGAAGCCGUGGAUACACUCCUUGAUAAUGGAAUCCGCGGACAACCAAUGAGGGACGGUCAUAAUAAAGUUUACAAAUCGUUUUCAGAUAUAAUUGAGGGCAAAGAGGGAAGAUUUCGAGAGACUCUGCUUGGAAAACGAGUUGAUUAUUCGGGGCGUUCUGUUAUUGUCGUAGGUCCAUCACUUUCAUUACAUCGAUGUGGAUUGCCCCGCGAAAUAGCAAUAGAGCUAUUUCAGACAUUUCUAAUUCGUGGUUUAAUUCGAAAACAUUUUGCUUCGAACAUAGGAGUUGCUAAGAGUAAAAUACGGGAAAAAGAACCGAUUGUAUGGGAAAUACUUCAAGAAGUUAUGCGGGGGCAUCCAGUAUUGCUGAAUAGAGCGCCUACUUUGCAUAGAUUGGGCAUACAGGCAUUUCAACCUAUUUUAGUAGAAGGACGUGCUAUUUGUUUACAUCCAUUAGUGUGUAAGGGAUUCAAUGCAGACUUUGAUGGGGAUCAAAUGGCUGUUCAUGUGCCUUUAUCUUUGGAGGCUCAAGCAGAAGCUCGUUUACUUAUGUUUUCUCAUACAAACCUCUUGUCUCCGGCUAUUGGGGAUCCCAUUUCCGUACCAACUCAAGAUAUGCUUAUAGGACUUUACGUAUUAACUAGCGGAAAUCGUCGAGGUAUUUGUGCAAACAGGUAUAAUCCGUUUAAUUGCCGAAAUUCUAAAAAUGAAAAAAUUAGCAAUAAUAACUCUAAGUAUAUGAAAAAAAAAGAACCCUUUUUUUGCAAUUCCUAUGAUGCAAUUGGAGCUUAUCGACAGAAAAGAAUAAAUUUAGAUAGUCCUUUUUGGCUCCGGUGGCGAAUAGAUCAAUGCAUUAUGUCUUCAAGAGAAGUUCCUAUCGAAGUUCACUAUGAAUCUUUUGGUACCUAUUAUGAAAUUUAUGGGCAUUAUUUAGUAAUAAGAAGUAUAAAAAAAGAAAUUCGUUGUAUAUACAUUAGAACCACUGUUGGUCAUAUUUCUUUUUAUCGAGAAAUUGAAGAAGCUAUACAAGGUUUUUCUCGAGCCUAUUCAUAUGGUAUCUAAUCAUAUAGAUGGUUAGUGUUGAUAUCCAAGCUAGGUAAAUUUAUGUUAUGAUACUGGCGUAAAUUCAGGUCAACUAGCAUCUUUUCUAUUUUCUACGUGAAUAAACAUAAAGAAAAGGAAGUUUUCCAAUCAUUCACUCAAAUUCAUUGUCGAACCGAAUCCCACUGAGUGGAAUAUGGAGGUACUUAUGGCAGAACGGGCCAAUCUAGUCUUUCACUUUCUUCCAUGCUUAGUGCGCAUGAUAGAAAGAGUCGAGCUUUGGAGUUUAGAAGUACUUUUUCUUUAUCUUCCUUUGACCAUGAUGCUUCUGGUGUGAGUGUAUCCACCUUUGUUGUUGCAUCAGUUGUCAUAGGUAUAUGUUCUCCAUUUGUGAUUAUUUUCCACAUAUCCACGUCUUGGGAUCUGAGGAAUAGUUUCAUUUUUCCUUUCCAGAAAUAAUAGUUCUUUCCAUUGAAGAAUGGUGGUCUUGUGCAUGAUAGACCUUCUGGUAUGUACUUUUCUUUUGACAUUGCCUUCUUCCUGAAUCUUUUCCUCCAACACUUGUUAGGUGUUUUUGUAGAGCCCGGGCUCUGAUACCAAUUAAAGUAGCAAUAAACGUCACAAGAAAGGGGGGGUUUGAAUUGUGACCCUUUUAAAAAUUAUUCCUGAAACUUAAGUUUAGAUUUAUAUACUCAAGAAUAAUCUUGGUGUAUGUUAGCUUAACAAGAUUAGAGUAUAUAACAAUUAAUUGAAUUUAGAACAGAACAUUCUGAAGACUGAUUAUAAACAGAAUGAGAAAAAUGAUGUUAAGUUAAAAGAUUAUUUUAGCAAGGACCAGAAUGUUCUGGAGAUUAAUAAAAUAAUGUGUGUGUGUGUUGUGUAACUUUAAAUAAAGAGAGAGAUAGAGAUAGAGAGAGAGAGAGAGAAGAAUAACACAGGAGAGUUAUCCUGGUUCACCAAACCCGGCUACUUCCAGUCCCCACACCUCGUGUGAGAUUAUCCACUAUAGUUUUCUUGCUAACAGAAACUUCUGACUAGCACUACAAUAUCUUGAUCACACCAGAUCAGUCCGUAACCUCUGUAUUAUCAACCUCAGCAGGCUUAUACAAUUCUUUGCACACUAGCAAAAGAAAGGUUGGAAUUUUCUAUCUCAAAACUAUUAAGCCCAAUAGACUUUGAGAAAUACAACACUCUUUGUAUGAAGAGAUUUGUUUUGGAUCGAAUAAAUACUCAAAUCUUUGUUUGAGUUUUACAAGAGGCAAAUUCAAGAGAGAUGAUCCAAGAGAUAUAGUGAGAGAGCUUGGAAUUUGCUUUGUUUGUGAAGAGCUUUGUUUGUAGUGAUGAUUUUCACUUUGAGAGAUAUUAGCUUGCAAAACUCUUGCUUAUGACCUUCAAAGGCCCUUGUAUUUAUAGGUGAGGAGUGUCUUGGUACCAAGGGAGAAAAUAGAGCUGUUGGACACGUUUUUGAUAGCUGUCCAAAGUCUCAAUUGAUUUCUCUUUUCUUCUUUAAAAUAGCCAGAACGUUCUCAGAAUGUUCUUUCUGAUUUGCCUGACUUAGAAAGCACUGUUGCUUUGCUUGCGCAUGAGAUAACCAGCUGUGAUGAGCUGUAUAACUUGCAGCCCACUUCUGAUGAUGUCAUGUCCUUUUGCUCUAGUGAUGUCAUGCUUAAGUAAGCCAUGUGAUCUUAUCCAUUUAAUGGGCUUUACUUUUUCAAAUGGGCUUAAAGCUUUUCUUAUGGCCCAAUAGACAUAAUCAGCCAAGCUUUCUUGCUGUGCAGACUUGUUCGCUUUUGAUGUACUGUUCCAUUUUCAUCGUUUUCGCCAGAACGUUCUCAAUUCAUUCUCAUGAAACAAAUUCUCACAAAAACGAAUUAGUAGAUAACAAGAUUAAAUAAAUAUAAUAUGUUUGUAAUCUUUAAAACAUCAAAUAAGGAUUUUGUCUCAACAACUUUGUCCUCCGCACGAUUUAUUAGGAGCUUUGUCCUCCGCACGUUUAAAGUAUAUUAAUACUUAUGAUGACGAUUGGUACCACAUGCAUAUAAGGAGUCUAAGAGCAUUGUCGCAUUGUCGUGUCUAAGAUGCUAUGUUGUUGAUGAUGAUUGAAUAUGUGAUUACGUGAUAAUUGUUUAUCAAAUAUGCAAAGUUGUUUAAGAUUGAAUAUGAUGUUAAUGUUAAUUUAUGAUUCGAAUUACAUUGAUUAAUAUUAUUUUGUUAUGAAAUCUCACCCCUUCUGCUUGAAAAUGUUGCCCUUCGUAUGGGUAACUUGCAGGUGAUCGUGCUUAGUGUGCAGUUUGCCGUUGUGAGUGGCCUUGCCUCGCUGUGUCGUCUAGGUCGCUCUGAUACGUAACGGGAUGGGGUUUUAUGUUAUGCAUGCUUCAUUCUCUUACGUAACUAAUAUGUUAUUUUUAUAAUAUUAUCAAUUAUGAUUUGAAAUAUUUUGAUGGGGCCUGCGUGCCGAAACGUUUUAUGGAUUAUGAUAUAAUUUCCGCUGCAAUGUUUAAGUUAUUUGGUUAAAUUAUUAUUUAACUGUUUUGGAUUAUGUUAUAUGUGAUAUCCCGUUGUUUACGAUGCUUACUCUGAUAAAUGUUUUAAGAAAUUUUUAUAUUGGGAAAACGGAGUGUUACAGAAACUCCCCCUAUAAAUACCGCAUUCCUCAUUCACAAUUUCUCAUUCAUAACGAAGUGGUUCAAGAGGAAUGCAGUCACUAUGCAUCUAGGGAGGAUUCUCUCUCUUCACUCCAAAUUUUUCUAGAGUAUUUUUAUUUCUUUUAUAAUUUCUCUUUAGUUACCAUGGGUAACUAAAUCUUUUUAGGCUUGGGUUCUAAGAUUAACCUCUAUUCUGGUUGUUGGAUAAUUUAUGUAAAGUCUUUAUUUUAGUUAUUUAUCUUUAUGCUACUAGUUUUACUGUUGUUGCGUAAGAUUUGUCUACUAAAGCAUAAUCUACUUAGAAUAAUUGAACGUGAGUUAACUGUUAAUUAAUUCCAACAAAAUGAAUAGAGAUGAUUCAAAUUAUGUUCAAUAUUUAAGCUAACUGUGUCCUCUAUUUAAAUUAAUUGUUAUAUAUUAUAAACCUGAUAUAGCAUAGCCUAUAUAGGGCUCACAUGAAGCGAUCACAAUCGAUAAAACUAUAUUCUAUAGCUAACGGUUGAUCCUACAAUACGCUCAAUCAAUGCAAAAAUAUGUUGUCACCUAUUGGGUUCAUAUUUCUAUAAAUAACUUUGCCACGGCCAAACAGUAUUAUUUCUCUUUUGUGUUUUUUUCUUUUUAUAUCAUGAAAGGUCAAAAUAAUGGAUAUUUGUUAAAAUAAAAUAGCAUGAAUCCUUAUCAUUGAUGAGUUUUUUAUAUGACCUCCUUACUAAGCAUGAUAAAGAAACAAAUUGAACACAUUGAUGCAUUUAAGAGAUAUUUAAUAAUUAUUCUAAUUUUAAAAAGUAUCUAUAAUAUACAUAAAGAAAACUACCUCCUUUCAACACUUUUGGGUUGAAUUUUUCUUUCUAAAAAUGUCAUCAAUUUUCAAUACAAAUAAUACAUAUAAUAAAUAGACAAGAAUAAAUUUAAAUAUUAAAAAAACGUAACAAAUACGAUAUGAAUAUAUAUAUAUAUAUAUAUAUAUAUAUAUAUGUGUGUGUGUGUUUUUUUUUUCUUUAUCAUUUAAAAAGUGUAACAAACUAAAUGAGUAUAUUUAUAUUUAAUUUUUUCCAAUUACAUCUUUAAACAACUUUUUCUAUAAUAAAGAUUGUUGUUGGUGUUAUUGAAAUAAAUAAUCAUGUUUAAUUUGGUUUGUUAUACCUAGAAAGCAACAAAAAUUUAUAUUUUUAGUUUUAAUCAAAAUCAAAAUUUCAUAAAAAAAAAAAUAUAAUUCAUAAUUUUCAAAUUUUAACGCGGUAAAAAGAGUGAAAAUACGGGCACGUAAGUGCCCAUCUUUACGCUAAUUUUUAUAAUUGCAUAAGUGACUUUUUAGCUGAUGAAACGAUAUCAUAAUCUUUAUAAAUUGUAAAACCACAUUCUAUUUGUUAUAUGCAAAAGGCGAGAAAUAUGGCUAAACUUGUCAAGCUUGUUUAUGUUAUAAUUGUGUUUUAUACCCUAUUUCUUGUUGCAACGGAAAUUGUUUGUGAGCUAAUUUUUCAUACUCUUGAAAUUUCCUUUUAUUUCUUUUUAUCUCGUUUUAGUAACAUUAUUUUGUUCUUUUUCCUUCAAUACAGCGGGUAUUCCUUGUAACGAUGAUGUUGAUUGUCCACAGACUCUGUGUGAACAGUUAAUUGCCGACUUCAAGUAUAUGAUAGAUUUUAAGUCGGAGUGUGUUUCCCGUAUGUGUGCAUGUACCGGAAGUCCCGUUUAAGCUGCACUGGUGGUUGGUUUUGGUUCAAAAUGGAACAAUGAAAAAUACCUUUAAUAUUGGGUUGCUUAUAUAUUUUCACCAUAGAUGUGGAAAUCAUAAUAGGCUAUUAAUAAAAUUAUAAAUUAUACAUGUGGCCUUUAAAUAUCUUUUCUACGUACCCUUGUUAUUAAUUAAUUACUAAAAUCAAAAGAAAUUUCCUUCUCAAUUACAUGUCGUUGAGUUUUCCACCUAGAUAUGUGUUGUAUUUUUUUAUCUUAUUAAAAUAACAUAAAAUCUUAUUUACUCUCAAUCAAAAUCAAUCUAGAAUAUAAGGGUGUCUCUAUGUACUUCUCUAGGUGUGUGUUUAAUUGUUUUUUUUGUUGCAUAUAUGCAAAUAUCAAGUCAUAAAAACAUGUUUUACCUUAAUAAACACAACCAGGUGUUACUAAAAAAAUAUAAUCAUAAAAACCUAUAAUGAAAUAUAGAUAUACAAAUCAAGGAUAGAGGGAAAAGAAAUAUCUUCAAAUAAUAGAUGGAAAAUAGUGUUUUAUUUCUUUCUUCAUUAGGAGAUUUUCUAAGCUAAUAGGGUAAUUAAAAUCUUAAAUUUAAUCAUGCACAUUUAAACAAGAUGUGUGAAGAUGAAUUUGCUUCAAUCAAUUAGAAAGAAAAACAAAGAAGCAAUGAAAGUUGGGUUUAAUUUUACCUAAGAUAUUAUGAUAUGCAUACAUAAACAUUUUUUACCUACGAUAUUAUGAUAUGCAUACAUAAACAAAUUUUUUUGGCAAAAUUACAUUAAUAGUGUCCCUUAACUUAAUUUUAGGUAACGUUUUGGUCCUUUAUCUUAUUUUUUUAAUCCUUUAUCUUUUUAAAUGUUAACACUAUUAUCCCUUUUCUACAAAAACCCAACAAAUUCAUAACAAAAAUAAGUUGUUCAUCAAUAAACCUAUAUUUUCAUCAACAAAUACCAAAAACCCAGAUAUUUAUAAAAAUUCCAGAGAGAAAAAAAUGCAUUCAACUUCAGUUUUUGUUUCACAUAAACGUACUGAUUAUCAAAAUUAACAAAAGAUAUGAAUAAGUGUUCUGAGGGUAGGUGCAUUUAGCACACAAAACCAACACUCCAAAACCAUUAAGCAUUCAAAACCCAAAAGCAAUAAUAAGCUCCAGGUUUGUAAUUCAGAACUCUCUCUUUCACAAAGGCAAAGUGGCAGUAAGGCAAAUUGACAGUAAGGGUUUGAGUUUAUUUAAUUGAGAGAAGUGGGUUGAUAGAUGGUGGUGAUGUUGUUGGGGAAGAGCUGAAUUGGUGUAGGUUGUAUAAGAGGUUGGAAAUGUGAUUCAUUUUCAGCAUGAAAUGAUGAUAGAGCGCACAAAUAUGAUAUAGGAAAACAGAAAUGGUGAAGGGGAUUUUAUGAAGAUAUGUAUUUCUGGGUUUUAUUAUGAUGAAGAUAUGAGUUUUUUGUUAUGAAUUUGCUGGGUUUUUGUAGAAAAAGGAUAAUAUUGUUAACAUUUAAAAAGAUAAAGGAUUGAAAUGGGAAGAAAAAAAAUAAGAUAAAGGACCAAAACAUUACCUAAAAUUAAGUUAAGAAAUUAUUAGUGUAAUUUUGCCAUUUUUUUACAUAAGAUUAAUUUUCAUAUACUAUUAGGACUCGUUUAAUUGGUUAUGAUAAGAGAUAGAUAAGAUAAUUGUACCAUAUUCGACCUUAAUUCAAUGUUUGAUGAGACAACAACAUAAUUAAUUCUAAGAUUCUUUUCCCACAACAUGUAAGACAAGAUAUAAUAGUUUUAUUCUCCCAAUGUACAUUAAAACCCUUAUGUGAGGCUUAAGAGAGAUACAAGUAAAUGUUGAGAAAGUGUCUCAAUCAGGGGUGAAGUUAUAAGGGAGACCAGCAUAGACCAUAACCCCCUUCAAACUAUUUUCUAUUUUUUUAAUUUGUUUAUACUGGUGGGUAUUACUGCUAAUUGUUUGCAAGUCUUUUUAUUAUCAGAUUCAAAGGUUGCAGAAGCCUUAGCUAUGCGGAAGGUUUUGGAAUUUAUGAAAGACAUGUCUUUUCUGAAUCUUAUAGCAGAAUCAAAUGCUUCUAAUAUGGUCUUGGUGUUAAAUGCUCUCCAACAAUAUGGUCUUUAAUGUAUGUCUUCGUAGUUUAAAUUUUAAGCAUGUUAAGCGUGAAGCCAACCAAAGCUGCUCACUAUUUAGCUAAAUAGUAUGAUCUUCAUAAUUUAGAUUGCAUAUGAAUCGAAAAUAUUCUGUCUUAUAUUUAUGCAAUCUUGACAUUUGAUUUAUUGGUAAACUUUUUAUUAAUAAAAUUUUCUUUUAACUUAAAAAAAAGGGCGGAGGGAGUGAUUCUCUUUAAUGAAAUUUUCAAUUCUCUCUCUUUGGUCUUGUCAAACGAAUACUCCAUUUGUCCCAUAUUAUUUGACACAAUUGACUUCAUUACAUAUGUCAAUGCACAACUUUAAUCUUAAAUAUCUUUAAUAAUCUAUUAGAAAAAAUUAUAUAAAAAAAUUAAUAUUUUAAAAAUAUUCAUCAAGAUGAAUUCAACAACAUCUUAUAUGCUAACAUUUGUCUUUGUAUAUUAGUAAAAAAUAUGAUUAAAACAUGUUAUAUGAAUAGUACACAUUUUUAAAGUAGGUCAUUUAAAAUGGGACAGAAGGUUAGAAAAUAUGAGAAACGCUUGAUGAGAAUGUUAACUUGUGCCCUCAAGGCACAAGUUAAGAAACCAAAGAUAAAAAUAUUUUGUUGGAAAUUGUACAUUUAAUGUUCUAGUCCUAUAAAUUUAAAAUAUUAUCUUUUCAAGAUAUAAUUUAUGAUUUAAUUCUAUUUUUAGAUUCCUAACUUAUCUUGUGCCCUUAGGGCACAAGGUGACGCUACCCUUUUUUAUUUUCUCAUUUACGUGUUAUGACUUAAACAUUUUCUUCAUCUAAUUUUUUUUUCAAGUUAUCAUUUACCCGCACAACACAUUUUCUUCUUUAAAAAGAUUUAAACCUAAAGCCUUUAAGCCAAAACCAAUUCAAAACUCUCUCACCGUUGUCGAGUCUUGGUCUUCCUAAAUGAUCCUUUUCCUACACUACACACUUUUAGUGAAAGCCUAAGAUUAUAGGAAAACAUUAAUUACUUAAUAUAAAAGUUGAAAACUUUAGAAUUCUUAAUCUCAAAACCUAUGAAAUUGUGGCCAGCAAGAUUGAUUACGUGAAGGUCAUAUAUAUUGUUGUCUUCUUGAUACACAGUAUCAAAUAAAGUCAAAAGUUAGGUUUGUGGUGGGAAGCCUCUGACACUACUAAAAAAAUAAAAAUUAGUGAGGGAAAUUUAGUGAGGGAAAACGUGAAAUCCUUCUCUAAUUCCGUCACUAAAUUUUGCGACCAACGAAUUUGUGAGAGAUUUUAUUUUUUCCGUCACUAAUUUUCCUCUCUGAUUUUACUUUUUCUAGUAAUGUGACGUAGGAGAAUGAAAAAUUCUACUACGUAAAUUUCUCAUUUGUGUUGGGAUUUGGUGUAGUUAGUUAUAAUUUUGAUGUAAAUUUGAUGUGCCUGAUUAAAUAUAUGUUUUGUUUCACUAUAUUGAUUUUUAUAUUCUCGCACUUAAGAGACAUGGAAUAGAAUCAUAUGUAGAUGUUAAUUGUGAGACGUUAAACUACAUUUACAAUCACCCAACAAUAUUAUAAGGUAAUUCUAUUUUAUCGGUUAACCGAAUGAUACAUCAGAAGUUAAAAGAUAAACUAUAUCUCUCGUUAUUCCAUACAUCAAUAUGUAUGGUGAGCGAUAUGUGAUGGUAUAACUGAAACACUACAAGUAUGUAAUGGAUGAAGGAAAUACAUUAGAGGAUUAUCUAGUGAAACUUAAAUUACUACUUUUUUAUCUUGAUACUUUUAUCAUCUACUACGUUGCUACUCAAAGAACUAAUUUUCACAAAGUCUUAGCUUAAAGUAUGUAGCUUAUAAUAUUGACAUUACUGCAAAGCUGGAGGAUACUUUCAAUCUGAUACAAGGAAUUUUCCAUUAACAAACAAGAAGAAACCAGAAUCAUUAAAUUGCAAGAAAUUUCGAUUAUAUUCAUGAAGGCAUCAAUGUUUAAACUGAUAUAGCAAGCCUAUAUAGGGCUCACAUGAAGCAAUCACAAUCAAUAAAUAAUAUUGUAUAGCUAACAUUGAUCGCACAAUACGUUCAAUAAAUACUUUGCCACGGCCAAACAAUAUUAUUUCUCUUUUGUGUUUUUUUACUUUCUUAUCAUGAAAGUUCAAAAUAAUGGAUAUUUGGUAAAAUAAAAUAGAACAAAUUCUUAUGAUUGAGGAGUUUUUUAUAUGACCUCCUUACUAAGCAUGAUAAAGAAAUAAAUUGAACACAUUGAUGCAUUUAAGAGAUAUUUAAUAAUUAUCCUAAUUUUAAAAAGGUAUCUAUACUGUACGUAAUGAAAACUACCCCUUUUUGAAUUUUUCUUUCUAAAAAUACCCUCAAUUUUUAAUACAAAUAACACAUAUAAUAAAUAGACAAGAAUAAAUUUAAAUAUUAAAAACACAUAACAAAUACGAUAUGAAUAUAUAUAUAUAUAUAUAUAUAUAUAUAUAUAUAUAUAUAUAUAUAUAUGUGUGUGUGUUUUUUUUUUUUUAUCAUUUAAAAAGUGUAACAAACUAAAUGAGUAUAUUUAUACUUAAUUUUUCCCAAUUAUAUCUUUAAACAACUUUUUCUAUAAUAAAGAUUGUUGUUGGUGUAUUGAAAUAAAUAAUCAUGUUUAAUUUGGUUUGUUAUAACUAGAAAGCAACAAAAAAUUAUAUUUUUAAUUUUAAUCAAAAUCAAAAUUUCAUAAAAAAAAAAAUAUAAUUCAUAAUUUUCAAAUUUUAACGCGGUAAAAAGAGUGAAAAUACCGGCACGUAAGUGCCCAUCUUUUCGCUAGAUUUUAUAUUUGCAUAAGUGGCUUUUUAGCUGAUGAAACGAUAUCAUAAUCUUUAUAAAUUGUAAAACCACAUUCUAUUUGUUAAAUGCAAAAGGCAAAAAUAUGGCUAAACUUGUCAAGUUUGUUUAUGUUAUAAUUGUGUUUUAUACCCUUUUUCUCGUUGGAACAGAAAUUGUUUGUGAGCUAUUUUUUCAUCCUUUUCAAAUUUCCUUUUAAUUCUUUUUAUUCCAUUUUAGUAACAUUAUUUUGUUAUUUUUCUUCAAUACAGCGGGUCAUGCUUGUACCGUUAAUGCUGAUUGUGAACAGAGUAUGUGUGAUCCGUUUUGUGUCGGAGGUUAUCAUUUUACGCCGAUUUGUGUUAUCGGUUGGUGUGUUUGUGUCGGAAAUCGGGUUGCUCCGGUUUUAUGAAUAAUUAUAUAGUUUCCAUAUAUAUGUGGAAAUCAUAAUAAGCUAUUAAUAAAAUUUAUAAAUUAUACAUGUGACUUUUAAAUAUCUUUUUCACCCUUGUUAUGAUUUAAAUACUAAAAUCAAAAGAAAUUUCCUUCUCAAUUUUGGAUAGGAUUAACUUGUACCUUAGAAUACAUGUCAAGAAAACCUAAAAGAAGAAAUAUUCUUUAAAAUUUUGUGCAUUCAAUACAUUAAAAAGUUAAAGAUUAAAUGUAAUGCACACAUUUCAAUAAACUAUUUGUUUAUUUGAUUCAUUGUGUCUUAUGGACACAAGUUAACAUUUAUAUAUAUAUAUAUCCUUGAGUUUUAGCGAAGAAAUGAAAAAGGUUAUCCCAUUGUUGUCCUCUCAAUCCUACAAUUUCUUGAUCGACUGAAAAUUUUAUCUAGAUAUGUGUUGUAUUUUUUUAUCUUAUUAAAAUAACAUAAAAUCUUAUUUAUUCUCAAUCGAAACCAAUCUAGAAUAUAUGGGUUGAAAAUUUUCGAGUGCUAUUUGGAAUGUGAACAUGAGUUCUGUUGAUACUCCAAAGAUAGAAAUUUGGGUUAAAAACUUUUUUUUUUUAAUAAUUAAGCAAAUUAUAGUAGAAACUCUUUAAAUUAAUACUCGGUAAAUUAAUAAACUCUCUAAAAUAAUAAAUUUAUCCGGUCCCGACUUAAGCCAAUGUAAAAAAUUGAAAAAUUCAAUGAAAUAAUAAGAUAAUAAUUUUUCGAGAGAUCCCUUUAUAAUUUUUGGUCCCAAUAAAAUCAUAAAUUAAUAAUUCAUAGAAACUGAAGAAAAAAAAAUAUUACACUCUAUUGAAAUAUGAUUCAAUAGUUGUCUGUUUUCCUUUAAGUUCAAAAAUCAUUAUUGAUUUCCAAUGAAUAUGAACACAGUAGUUACUAAUUUACGUUGAGCCCCAAGAUUCGCUGCAACGUAAUUCUAAGAGACAUAGACUAAUUUGCCUUUUUGUUUGGUAUGUACAGUAUAAUUACUUAAAAACUCUUUAAAUUAAUAAUUAUUAAUUUAUCUAUAAAUUAAUAACUCUCUAAAUUAAUAAAUUUAUCCGGUCCUGACAUUAUUAAUUUAUAGAGUUUCUACUGUAUAUUAAAGAAACAACAAACAGCCCCUCAAACACAAAGUGUGCUAAAGGUAACGGUUAAAAGUUUAAAAUACAAUACAGUCAGGCUACCAACAGCCAAAGAAGCAAACAAAAUUACAAAGCAGCUUGACAACAACAUAAAGGAUUUUGUCUCCAAAUGGGAUAGUCAAAGUUGAAUGUAAUGUAGUUCGCUUUCAACCAUCAAUAUAUUUGGAGCUUAACCUUUUCAAGAAGUCCUAUAAGCUGAUCAAAAUGAUUAUUAAAAUUCUACCGUUACGGUCUUUCCAGAUAACAAAUAAGACCGAAAUCCAAAUAAUAGAGAGUGAUGUCCUUGGGUUAAAAACUUGAAUUUCAGUUUUUUAUUUUACAAAAUUAAAAAAAAAAAAUUAGGAGGUGUAUUUUUAAAUAUUAUUAUCGUUGAAAUAAAAACAUUAUUUUUUUUGUCUCAAAAUGGAAUUUUUAAAAUUUAAUUUAACGUGUUAAACCUAUCCAUACGUUGUUUAUCUAAAAAAACAUAGGAGUAUAUUUUAAUUAUAUUUUUUUAACGGAGGUGAAUAUUUAAUUAAUAUUACCAUUAGAAUAAAAACUAAUAAAAGCAUGAUUUUAUCCCCUUAAAGACAUUAUUUUAUUUAUAUCAAAAUGGUAUUUUUAAAUUUAAUUUUAGUAUUUUAAACAUUCCAAAACGGAUUUUAAAGAUAAUUCAACUACUUUGAACCAAUACGAUUUGAAUAUUCAUCAACCAAUUUAUUUUAUAUUUUGUUCCGGUUUGAAACUUGAUUCUGGAUCUGUUUUCAAACAUGCUCAUGCCGAAUUCGGAAAUGUUGAAACUAAGGGUGAAAAUUGAAAUGUGAAAAAAGUUAAAUGGCAAAAAGAGCAAAAUUGAAAUUAUUGAUGUUUUGUAGAGUGUCCAAUAUCUAAUCUUCACCGCACAAAUUAGUAAACUAUAUAUCCAUGGCUGAUAUUAAAUUGGUUCAGUAUGAACCCAUAAAUUCAUGAGUCCAAAAUUAUACGAAACUUGUGUCAGCAUGAUGACAUAGAUUCUAAGAGCAACAAAUCCAAAAGAGUACACAAACAUCUUGUUUUUUUGUCAAACGAGCUUAUAAGUUAUAAGGUAAAAGCUAAAAGCUCUUUUUUGGGGUUAAUUAAACAGACUCUUAGAAUAUUUUUUGAGCUGAAGUUUAGUUAUUGUUUUGGCAUCCAAUAAUUGUAUUUUUUUAUUUUUUUCAAUUUCUAAUUAACCUUACUACAUAUUGCAUUUUCUUUGAGUAUAGCAUAGCCUAUAUAGGGCUCACAUGAAGCAAUCACAAUCAAUAAAUCAUAUUAUAUAGCUAAAAUUGAUCCUACAAUACGUUGAAUCAAUGAAAAAAUAUGUUGUCACCUAUUGGUUCACAUUCUAUAAAUAACUUUGCCACGACCAAACAAUAUUAUUUCUCUUUUGUGUUUUUUUCUUUUCUUAUCAUGAAAGGUCAAAAUAAUGAAUAUUUGGUAAAAUAAAAUAGAAAAAAUUAUUAUAAAAUCACAUUCUAUUUUUUACAUGCAAAAGGGGAGAAACAUGUCUAAACUUGUCAAGUUUAUUUAUGUUGUAAUUAUGCUUGUUACCCUAUUUCUUGUUGCAAAAGAAGUUGAUUGUGAGCUAUUUUUUCAUCCUUUUCAAAUUUCCUUUAAUUUUUCUAUUUUGUUUUAGUAACAUUAUUUUGUUCUCUUUCUUCAUUACAGCGGGUGUUCUUUGUAAUGGAGAUGUCGAUUGUCCACAGACUAUAUGUAAUCGAUUUUCUAAUUUUAAUCCAAGGUGUAAUUUAGGUUAUUGUAUAUGUGUCAGAAUGAUGACAUAGAUUAUGAUAGCAAAAAUAUUAUUUAUAGAUUCUUUUCUCUCUUAAUUUUAAAGAUAUUUCAAUGGGCUGCAAUUUAGACAUAUUGCAUUUUCUUUUCAACCUUACUAAAUAUAAGUGUAUCAAUAAUGGCUAUGUUGAAAAAUUAUUUCUAUCUCAACAGUAUUGUUACACUUAUAAUUUUUUUAAUAUUUUUUUAUAUUUGUUUUAGUAUUUUUUAUAAUGUUUAUGUUUGUGUUUAUAUUGGGUUCAUUUUUGUUUAGCAUGUACUCCUUAUUCAAUUGGGCUUAUUUUUAUUGGGUCCAGUUCGGUUAAUCAAGUUCCAUUUCUUUAUUUAACAUUUUGAUUUAUUUUUAAUAAACUUGGUUCAUGUUGAUGCAAAAGAAUUGAUAAAAAAUAAAAAAAUAAAAAAAAAACAUUGAUACAAGAGAAUAUACCCAUUAUUUUGUUUUGUUACAUAUUGUUUGCUAGCUGACUUAAAAAGAAAAUAUUUAAUCAAAGUUGUUGAAUGUAUUUGUUUAUGCAAAUUUUAAUUAUGUUAGUAGUAAAUUAAGUUACUUAAAGUAUAAUUUAGUCUCUAAGUGAGACUAUAACACAUUAUUUAUUAACCAUUGAUACACAAUAUUAAUAUAUGUCUAUUUUUUUUUUGAAACAUUUAUUAUAUGUCUAAUUGAUACUGUAAUUUUGUUUUUAAAUGCUGCUACAACUAAAUAGUAAGUACAAUAAAUUGUAAAUUCUAAGGGUUAAAUAUAUUUUUUAUCCCUCUAAAUAUACAAACUUUCAUUUUUAGUCCUUUUAAAAAAUUUCAUUGAAUGAAAAUGAUCCCCCUAAAAUUUUCUGUCUUCAAAAUUGAAAGGUGGUAUUUCACGACUUAAAAGAGAAUCGUUAUAAAUAAUUAUUAGUAUUUUGAUUUAAUAUAUUUUUAUAUUAAAGUGUAAUAAAAGCUAUAAUAAAUUAACUAUAAACAAAAUGUGUGUGUGGGGGAGGCACUCGGGUGAGAACACUUUGUUAUUGUGAGAAAUAAAAUUGAUUAUAUCGUUUGAUUAAAAAAUAUAACAUGCUCUCAAAAAAAAAAAUUUGAAUUCUUAUGAUUGGCGAAUAUUUUUUAUCCGGCCUCCUUACUUAGUAUGCUAAAGGGGCAAUAACAUCAUAUUGGUGCACUUAAGAGACAUUUAAUAAUGAUUCAAUUUUUAUUUUUUUUUUAAAUCUUUUUAUAAUUCUAUAAGUGUUAAAAAUAAUUAUUUAACUGAUGUAAUGAGAGCACUAUCUUUAUAAAUUAUAAAGGGAUAAAAUCACAUUCUAUUUGUCACAUGAAAAUGGAGGAAAACAGGGCUAAAACUUUCAAGUUUGUUUAUGGUAUGGUUAUCUUUCUUUACCUAUAUCAUGUUGCAAAAAGAGUUGAAGGUAAGUCACUGUUUCAUCCUUUUUACAUAUGAUUUUGUUCCAUCUAAGUGACAUAUUUUUUUCUCUUUUUUCACUACAGCGGCUAUUCCAUGUAUUACUGAUGCUAAUUGUCCAUGUGUGUUUCCUCUUAAACCAAGAUGUAACUUUGGCUAUUGUAUAUGUGAGGAAAUGAUUCCAUAGUUUCUAUGAGCACCAAACCCAAGAGAGUACAUAAGUAUCAAGUUAGAAUAUUUUAUGUGUUGUUGUUAUUUAGUUGCAAUGUUGCCACCCAAUAAAUUAGAUUUUUUUAAUUCUUUAUCUUUAAUUUCAAAAACCUUUAUAGUUUUACCUUUGUACUCUAAGAUGAUAGUAAAUAAAUGAAACAAUGUAAUAGAAAAAUAUUAUUUAUAGAUUGUCUUCUUCUCUUUUAAUUUCUAAGAUAUCAAUGUAUCAUUUGCUUCAUUUUAAUUGUGGAGAAGUAGCGUGUUCGGGAUACGAACCCCGACCCCUGCAUAUAACAUGCAAUAUCCCUACCAACUGAGUUAAGCUCAGAUUUAACUUGUUAAUGGAAGAUAUAUACAUGAAGUUUUUUUUUAAUUUUAUCGUUUUUAGAGUCUUACGUGACAAUGCAUUACACUUUAAGGGACCAAAAUAAGAGUUUCCUUGAUUAUGGAGGAGAAAAAUUGUGAGAUUAAAGAAGAUUAUAAAUGAAUUAAGUAGACAGUGACAACUAUACGAUGAUCUCUCUAGAUAACAAGUAUUAUAGAAAAAGAUAAAAAUAGGUAUUAAAAAAAAACAUCAAUUCACACAAUCAUAGAUAAUGCAUUAUACAUGGCAAUUUAAUCGAUUCUUGGAUCGGAUACCAAGUUUUUUUUAAUAAAAAAAAUCAAAUCAUUCAUUCUUAUAUAUAUAAAUUUUCACUCAUCUGUUGAAAUCGGGAGGCAUGUAUCAUAACAUAUUAUUUUCAUCUAAAUCAUGAUCAAGGAUAGAGUCGUUACCUUAUGCGUUUUACUUCCAAGUAAAUGACAAUAGCCCCCCAUAAAUUCCAGGUUCGGUGCAUGCAUGACUUCUCACGCUCUAGACUUUGUUUGGACAAUAAACCGUUGAAAACAAAGAACUGCAUGUUGAGAACAUGAUGUCCAAAAAUUAACCCGAUCGAACUAUGAACACAGACUUAGUCGAAAUUAUGAAUUUUUCGAGAGAAUAGAUGCUAUGAAUUAAUUGAUGUACUUAGAAAAUGUGGAAAAUGUGAAUCAUGGAGAUGUGUAUGAGGAGACUAGGAAAUAAUAAGAGAAUAUUGUGAUAGGGGGAUAGUUUGCGUGUGACCAUAUGGAGAUAGAGGGAGUUUGUUUUCAAGAUUUGGCUAAUUAUAUUGAUGGGAGAAUGUAAUUUCAAUGUGUAACAGAGUCAACUUAUGAAUUCAUGGAAUCAAUGAAUUAGAAUAUAUUGAUGUUCAUAAUGCACUCAUAGUUCAAUGUGUGUGAGAGAAGAAAUGCAGGGUAUGGCUUCAGCUUGGGCAAUGAAAAUGGGGAUAUAUUUACCAUGACUCGUAUUUAAGGAAGGACAUCGACAUCUUAAUUUAUAUUUGUGUUGGUUCUUUACCAUCCAACACUUUGUCUCAUGCAACAUUUUUAGUCUUACCGUUGUCCAAUAAAAUUUUCCCUUCAACUUGAGCGAUACUUUCGCAUUACAUAAAACAUUUGAUGGUUUACACUCCUUCAAUUUCUCCUUCGUUUUAUGCUAUAAAUUCAAGAUAUUUAAAUCGUGUAACUUGUGAUAAGAUAUGAUAACAAACUUUCACCUCUAUACUAGAAACAAUUCACCUUUUUUGCUAAAAUUGCAUUCCAUAUACUAUGGUUUGCUUCUAUUCAUAUGGAAGGCAUAUGCAAAACACGUGAAAUGAAAACGCAAUUGAUGCUUUAAAAAAACGUUGAGAACGAAACUGAUUGUUUAUUGCAUAACACGUGAAAAUGCAGUUGAUUCAAACAGAGAUCCUAAAAAAAUCUUGCAAUUUAAACGGUUUUAAUAUUUUCUUUUUUCUACUAACUAUUUUAGUAAGUUUAAUAGCUAUUCGUGUCCCGAAAAUAUUGACUCAUUUAAAAAUCUUGAAUAUAGCAUUUAGGAUUCAAGUACAAUUACUCUCCAAUAUCUUUGUUUUUAUUUGAAAAGGUAAAAGCAAUUUAUAAAUACUAAAAAAAAAACCCUCUAACAUCACAAGUAGUGUGAAGAUAGGUAAUUAGGUAAACAUUGUUCAAAAUAAAGAGAACCAUUAGCCAUUAUAUGCUGCUGCAACUGGUAUCCUAACCACAUACACAGUACAUUUAAAAUUAAUAAGUUAUUUUUAUGUAGUUGAAAAUUGUUUCCAUAAGCUAUCAUGUUAUUUCCACCAUAAGCUCUCUCAAAUACUCAUGCAAGUUUUAUGUCAGCAUACAAACUCAAAUAAGUUGUUAAUAGGUCAAAUCGAAUUAUUCCUAAAUUUGUUUUCAAGUAUAUGCUGGACUAGUUUAUAGUGCACAAGUGAGAUAAGUAUUGUAUCAUAUGUACAAUUUAGUUUUCAUCAUUGGACCAAUAAAUCUUACCAUUGGAUUAGAUCAAAUGAGAUACGAUGGGACUUGUUGAUCCAACGAAGAAAAAAACACUUGUGCAUAGUCCAAAACCAUUUCGUCGGGCACAUAGACAAAGCUCUAUAUGCAAUUUACAUUUUCGUUUAGGAAGAUACAAACCAUAUAGGUGAGUAUGUGAAUGAAGAAGACUUGUUAUCCUGAGAUUUUGCUGUCAUGAUUGCUCAGAAGCAUAUCAAAUUAUAUAUUUUACCAGUACAUGGAUUAUUUUAUGGGAUUCCUCUGCAAUCUCAGAAACUGCAGAGUGCAGAGAAACCUGCUCCAUUUGUUGAGUCAACAAAUAGCCAAAUCAAUAUAAUGUAAGAGUCAUAGAAUCAUGUAGACAUAACAGAUCAGAGAUAAAUGUUACAUAAAAUUCUUUUUGUUGGUUACAUGAUAUCAGCAGAUCCUAUGCUGUUCACUGUUCAGAUAAAUCACAGAAAUUGAAACCAAACAAACUAAAUUCCUAGAAAUACUUCUAAGGAAGCAUUUUAGUACAUUCAUUAUAAACACAAAAAUGAUAAUGUCACACAGGCAAGAAAAAAAUUAGUUCAUUCAACAAGAACCCUUUCAAAAUCUAAGGAAUGUAAUCAUUUUCUAUUGUUGGUCUUGUUCUAGUCCCAAUUGCUAAUGGUGCUUUGGUUCCCCCAAUAGAUUUCAUCUGCAAAGUUUCAUGGCUAUCAGCUGUCCAUUCCAAUUCCUGUAUCUUCAUCCCUUUUUUAAUCCUUACCAAUCUAACAACCAAUAAACUCAACAUAAUCAACAAUAUGCAUCCACCAACCACAGAUCCAACAAUUAUCCAAACGUUAGACUUUCUCCUCCCACCUUUACCAACAGCAGCAGCAACAGCAGCAGGCGCUGGAGUCGGUGCAUUAGACUCGACAACAAUCGAGAAGUGCCCUUGUUCCAUUGUGGAACACACAUUAUCAGGUAGUAAAAUAUCAAAUUGCACUGAACCAUGUAGAUCAAAAUACACACAUUUAGGUACUGAACCAUAUGGUGCUGAUUUCACUUUAAGGAACUUAACCAAAAUUGGUUUAUCAGAAGCUCUUACAUCCAAUUCAGGUAACUCAUUAGCAAACAAAUCAACACCACUAUACGACAAUAGACCCAAAACAGGAGCUAAAUAUGUAUAACCAGGUAAAGGGUAAAAAUGUUCAGACAAAUUUCCUAAAUUAUGGUAAACCAAAACAAGCCUUUCCACAUAAGGCUGUUCAACAACACCAGGUGGGAUCUGAAACUCUUUGUAUUGAACACCUCUUGUUCUUAAACUACCACUUCUAAGCCUCAAUGUUGAAACUUUAACACCUAUUAUACUAUUAGGCAAUUUAGCAUCAUAAGGUACACCGGUUUUAGGCUUAACAAGUGCCUUAAAGGCAUAAUUUUGAAGAACAGAAUCAAGGGCUUUUGAUGAAAUACCAUUAUCAAAUGGAAUCUGAGCAAUUGAUGAAAAUGGCAGUGAAAGAAACAAUGGCAAUGUAAGAAUUGCAAGGAAAAUUGUUACAACCCUCAUCAAGAUCUCAUAUGUUAAAAUUGUUAAAAACCAAAAUUAAAUACAACCCAAUGAGAAUUUAUAACUAAGAGACACAACUACAGAAGCUAGAAUGCAACAGUGAGAGAAAAGAUUGAAACUUUAUAGCUUACACAGCAAAAACAGCCAUGAAUUGUUCAACAUUGUGCUGUGUACCUCUCUGCAAACACCAACAAUGGGAAGAGAAAAAUUUGCAGAAAAUUCACUUCGGGAAGAAUAAAAACCAGAUCUUUGAAGAAACUAGUUGAUUUUCUGAAAUGGGUUGGUGGCAAAAUCUUGAGAUUUUCAACAAAUAAUGAGUUUUGAGCUUGAGAUUCAAGGAAGAAGAUAAUUGAAAGAAGAAAAAAAAAACGUUGUUUUUUCUGUGUUUUUGUUGAAUUUGGGUUAAAGAGAAAUUUGAUAGUGAAAAGAAAAAGAGAUUUGGAAAAUUGGGACAAUGCAAGCAGGAUUUGAGGAGAUAUGAGAUUGGGAGUGAAGAUUCACUGUGUUAUUAGUGCAUGCACACACUCUUACUGCAGUUUUUUGUUUGUUUGUGUUCAACAAAACCCUUAAUUUAUAUUGAUAAUAAACCCUAAUUUUGGUUAAUUUUCUGUUUAUAGGUAUGGUAUUUUAUGGAGGUGUCUAUGAUAUAUUUUUACAAAAUAAAAGAUAUGUUAUAUGUCCACAACUUCUAACUCACCCCAUAAAAAUGUUGAAAUUGUUAAUCUAAUUUAUGAUCGAGGGUUAACAUAUUUCUACCAAUUGAUUGCAAAACACUAUGUUGAUUUUAAAAAUUUAUAAAGGACAUAAAAGAAAUGUAUAAAACUGCAAAAGGACAAAAAUAUUUACAUCCAGCCUGUUUUAUGAGCAUCGCAAUUUACUAUUAUUUUCUUUUCAAUUUUGGUAAGAGUUAAUAAUACUCAUUCACUACUAGUAGUGUAAAUUAGUUUCUUAAAAAAAUAGUGCAAAUAAGUUUUUUUAACCAUUUGAUUCUUACGGAAGAGACUUUAGUAAUUCGGAGUUUGGCCACAAAAUAAAUAAAUUUUCAUCAAGAAUUAUUCUGCCAAAGAAUCAAAUCUAAGUUCUUUUAAAUAAAUUAUUCCUAUUGUAACUUAGUUUUACGAUUGAAAUAAAAUAAAAAUUAAUUUUACAAUGAUAUCUCAUGAUAUUUCUCUAUUUUGUCAUGUAAUGUAAUUAAUGUUAAGAUCUAGUUACAAAAUUAGGAUGAUAUUUUAUCAUCAAAACAAUAAAGAUUAUGGUCAUAUGACAAAACAUUUUUUUUUUUUUUGGUACAAGACAAAACAUAUUUUUAUUGGAUAUCAAUGUAAAAGUCGGCAUAUCUGUUAAAUCAUAUAAAUAAUUUAUGAUGUAAAUUUGAAGUGAGUGAAAAACGUUCGGACGAAAAGUUGUCAGAAAGAAAAGAAAAAAAAAAAAAAAAAAGGAAAUUUAAAUUGUGUAAUCUUUCAGUCGGCAUAUUUUUUUGUCUACCGAUUAAAAUUGAAUAGUAUAUACUUAAAACUAUUAAUAAAAAUUUAAACCUAAUUUAAAUUUAGAUCCUCUGAUCUUAAUCAAACAGAUAAAAAAUACAAAAAUUACAAGAUUGAAUGCAAUCAAAAGUCCGGAUUGGAAAAAGGUGAAAAAUAUUACAAACAUGGAUGAAAUCAAGGAGGCACAAAGCAAGUACAUUUACAUUAAUUAAUAUAGGUUGAAUUAGCCGUUAAUUGCAAAUGUGAUUUAAUACGAAGCAGAAUCUAGUCAAUGCAGCAACCAACUAUCUGCCCCAAGUGGGGUUCAAUCACAGCCUAAAUAGGAAAGAAAGGGAAUGACCAACUGAAGCCCAAAUACUGUUGCAGGUUACUUGAUAAAAAUCUGAAUCAUGAUUGUGGUCAAUUUACAAUUGAAGUUUAAAGUACAUACUUUUCACUAAGCUUUUUUUUUUUUUUUUGAGUAAAAUACUUUUCACUAAGCUAUUAUCAACAACAAAAAACACAAAUGUUACAUUAAUUGUAACACAUGACCAUUGACCAACCUUCUUAAUAGUAUAAUCCCCACAAAUUAUUAAAACCAGUUGGCAAAUCAUAAAUGGAGACAUGCUUAAAAUGUCCCUAAAUUAUUCCUGAAAUAAUGGGAAGCUGUUUCAUAUUUAAAUGAACACCAACCGUAAUCACACAAGAUUAGUGGUUUGUUCUGCAAAAGAAAGUUCUCAAUAUGGACUCAAGAUCACGAAAACAGUAUGAAUUGAAAUAAACAAAUCUUGGUAAUAUAUCACUGUCACUUAAUUACGUAUCUUUUAGCAAUUUGACGUUUGACAAGCACUAAAUGCACUUGACGAAAUAGUCUACACUCAACUGACGCUUCAGUGUAUCAUGGAUCAAUAGUUACGCAUCCACCAUAAAAAAAUAAAGAACUGAACUGAGAAAAAAAAACAGUACUUUGAUAUACAGAACCGUUCUUUUUUAGUUACACAAUAUAAGGUACAAAAUUACAUCAAGCUAAUGUCACCCACAAUAUGUAAAACGAGCAACACAUAAACAACAGAUCAUAGAGGCAUGAAGAAUUUCAUGUCAUUUUCCGUCCUUUCCAGCUAUAGAAGAGAUGCUCUUCACUUCAGAACUCGUCGAGUCCUUUACAAUCACCUCAGAACUCUUUAUAUCCUUUCCUGAUAUGGGAGAUGAAAUGCCUCUUGUUAAUUCUGAUCCCAUGCCAAGGUUGGCAUCUGAAGAAAAUGAUAGGGAUGUGGCAGAUGGAGUAUUAGAAUCUAGGGGCACUGGGGGUAAGUUCAGAGGAUUAACUUCAGAGACUUCCUCAUUGCUCUCGUCUAAGUACACAACAUCCUGCAUCGUAAGUUGAUGAUAUUCAACGACCUCCCUCAGAAAGCGAUUCUCACGAGCAUAAACUGAGUUCUCGUGAGCCAAGCGAGCUUUCUCAGCUAGAAGAGUUUCAAGUUGCAGUCGUAUCUGUAAGGGAAAUGUUAUCAUUAAAAUACAGGAAAUUUUGGUGAAAUGAGUAGUGUCGGAGAACAUUUUCAAAACUGACACAAUGUGGUUAAAACCUGAAUAACCAAAUCAAUUGACUUAUAACUGAAUUAUAAACCAGAGGUGGGAUAAACUCAAACUUUAUAGUUGGCUUUUUGGUUCUUUACAAGUGUCUUCAAAGGGGAAGCAGGGAGAGUGGUAAAAGUAUUUUCUUUUAAUAGAAGAAAUUAGAGUUGAGAUAAAAGGGAGUAAGUACAAACAAUGGAGGUUAGCAUAGGAAGGGAAUCCAAAUACACAUCUAGUCUUUUGGAAACUUGCACAAUAUAAUAUGUGUUUAACUAAUUCUAUAGUGGAACCAUAUUAUAUUAUCUAGAAAACAUGCAAAUGAAACUUUAGAUUAAGGGGUCAUUUGAAAGAGCUUAUUGUAUCACAAACACUUGUGUAAAAUGUUUAAAAGAACAAAAGAAUAGCUCAUGAUAUAUUCAUAAGAUGUUUUCAUCUAUUUUCUUAAGCUCAAAAGAACAGCUUAUAUGUUAUCUUAUACAUAGUUAAUGCAUAAACAGAACUUAACGAUAUAUUGAAAAAUAUCACAAACUUCAGAGAAUCAUGGCAUACCAUGCUCCCCUUUGCCCCACCUUUGCACAGUACACUUUAUGCUUUAAUACAAAAUAAGUUCUCCGAAAUUCAUGUAUAGAAAUAGUUUGACCAUCUCAUGGCCAACAUCAUUUCUAUUGGACUUCACAUUUUGUGGUUUAUGUAAUUGAGUUCUAGAAACAAUGUGCACAUUUCAAAGCAUCUAAUAACUUAACAGUUGAAACAUAGAAGCCAAUUCAGGGGUUAUAAAAAAAACCAAUUUAGGGUAUAGUCAGACUCCAGCUUUAAAAUAAUUGAAUUCUGAAUAUUUAAGGCCUAUUUGGUUGGAGAAGAAUUUCUGUGUUCAUUCCUUGUUUUCACUAACUACAAAAAUGCCAUUUUCCUCUUUCUUGUUUUCACAAUUUAUACAUAAAACAGUAAAUUAUGGUUGUUUCCACUGAUUUCUAUACAAUACUUUGAAAACAAGAAAUACAGUCAAAAUAACAUGAUAUUUGGGUGAUUGUUAGAUUUUAGUGAAAACGUCAACAGCAAACAAAAACUGUUUUGUCCAUGCAAAGAGGCCCCUAUAUUACAGCCCCAUCCAACUCUUUGACAUUUGGUUUUGAUGAUUUUUAUUCUUACUACUCAAAUAAAAUAUGUCUCAUGAUUUAUACAUGUUCAAUUUAGUAGAGAAAUGCUGAUUUUUAUUAUACACAAGCCCUCUCCACCCAUACCAAUUUAAUAGACAACAAUCAUUCAAAAAAAAAAAAACAAAGACUACUGAAAAGAAGCAGACAACAUCAUCACUAAAGAAGCAUUCUAAGUUUGAAGUCAAACUCAAAACCCCUGCAGGAGUAGCAUUAAAUACUCAUCCAAUACACAAGGCUCCCACCGUAUGGCGCUUGAAGUAGAUUAAGGGUGCGUUUGUUAUAACUUUUAAAAAAAAAAAUUGUGUUAAAAGAAUCUAGAGAUUAAUUUUUAGAGAUUUUUAAAAAAAAUCUGAAGUUAUUUUUGUUUGCCUAGUACUACCCAUAAAAAUCCAUUUAAAAAAAGAGUUUUAACAUGUACAUGUGUUACCUCCUUGUUUUUGAAAAAAAUAGAAUUUGAGAAAAGCUAAUCCUAAUAGCUUUUCAUUUUAGGGUCAAAAUAGACUUUUUUGAUAAAAUGAUUUUUCUAAAAAACCUAAACAAACACUUAAAAAUGAAAAAAGUGAUUAUAUAUUUUAUUUGAAAAAAAUCCAAAAGAAACAGGGCCUAAAUAUAAGCAGCUACACCUUCACGAGUACAGAAUAUUGGGAGUUUGGUAAGAAGUACUAUAUAUCCAAAAAAGGCAUUUUUGUAAUUAGUAACCACGGCAAAAGUAUUGGAUGAUUGUAGUCAUAAGAUGAGGUUGCAAAGGCGAUAGUUGUUUAUAUCACAGGGAGUUAUGAAACAUGUGAAACGAACAACAUACACCAUGAUAACCUUCAACUAGAUCUCACGAAAAGACAAGGGUCAUAAUGAAACUGAAAAAGAGAAGUCAACAAACAAAAAAGAUGCAUACCAAAUCAUCAUCAUCUUGGCUAUCUCCCCUUUCGCGAUUUACACGGAGGAUUUUAUUUUCUUCCUCUAAUUGAGCACAUCGAUCCUUUGCAAAUGCCAGAUCAGCCUUGACAGUCUUCAACUCCCGAAGAAGCAGUUUUGCUUUGGCAGCCAUUGCCAUUGCAACCUGCAACGAAAACCAGAUGGCAAAAAAUGCUUCAAAGACAUUCAUAUCUUCUGAUAAAUAAACAAACUCACUCAAAAUAAACCUUUUUCUUAGGGUAGAGAAGGAAGGAUAUAUAAAAUCAAGAAUAUUAAUGACAAUCCGUUACCUUAAAAAAACCGUGAGAAAGACAAGAAAAUGAAGAAACAUAAUUAUCUACCAUUGAAAGAAUCCAAAAUAUAAGAGCCGUAAAAAGAGUGAGAAUGAGGCUGGAAAACCUAAAACUAACACCAAAUUAUUAGCAUCAUCACUCUUGUUUCAGCGGUCAGACUUCAUGUCCGUAAGAUGGACCUAGGGAAACUAUGGCCCUGAGUAGGAUUUAGAACAUCAGAUGUUUACAGAUGAUUAUAGGUUCACAGCUUAAUUUUGUAAAAGAUUGAAUUAGUGAUUAGAAGGUCAAUAGAUGGCUGGAUUUAAUAGAUAUAUUCAAUAGAACUAGAGGAAAGAAGCAUCAUUUAGGAAUCCGAUUACUUGUGUAAAAAAUUAGCAUAUAUUUUUGCUUUAGAUGAGGAAAAAAAUUACCCUUUGUCAUCAGAAAAUUAGAGUGGUAAAUAAUUGUACUGGACAGCUAUAAAACACUGUUGCAUAUGUCAUAUGUUAAGAAAGGUCACUCAAAAAACACAAAUGUUAUUUGUAAUUUUAGGAAUUCAAAAGACGAAGAAUAAAAAUAAUGGUUUAACACUCUAAUACUUUCUAAACAUGUUUUAAACAUACAGUAAUACUGUCUAUAUUUCCAUAUCCAUGUACACACAAACACAGAUCUUUAAUACUCCCUCCGGUCCUAUUUACAAGAAACAAUUGACUUUUUAGAUUCGUUGAAUAAUUAAUGUAUUUGGUCUAUAUUCUAGACCGGGUACAUAAAUUAUUCAAUGAACCUAAAAAGUCAAUUGUUUCUUGUAAAUAGGACCGGAGGGAGUAUAUGAGUGCUUCAAGAGGUACUUAUGUUUUGGACUUCGAUGUGUGAUAGUCACUGUAUCGUGUCAAUUUGUAUCUUGUACACCAUAUCAAUGUAUUUGCUUCAUAGGAUAAAUCGGUUUCCAUGAAUCAUUCCUAUAUUGAGGCCUUUGAUAGACAAACACACUCAAAUUGUUCUGCCUUUAAUAAUCUCACAAUUCUUAAAUUCGUUGAAUCUGAUAACAGAAGAUAUUUAAAAACAACCAACACAAAAAUGUCGUAUGAUUUAGAGAAAACACAUGCAAAAAUUUGAGGAAGAUAAAAUUUUAAAAACAAACAACAUAGGGCAAGAAUGUUAAACAUCUGAUGCUACCGUACUUAACCACACGUCUACUUUUACCACAUUAAAAAGUGAUACACAGUUGCCACCUUACGUCGCGAGAUGCCUUCAGCUGAAGUUCUUGAUCUCCUUGUGUUGGCGACAUCUGGGACCGCAACUGGGGUUCUUGCGACGUUGUAGAAUGGUUUGUUUCCUGAUUCUGUCCUACAAAGUUCCCGGGCUUUUUCCUGAUAUGUUUACGGGUUUCCUGAAUGAUAUCUGAAGUCCUAUUCUCAACAAUUGUAAAACCUUCCUGCAAACAUGAAUUGCAUGGGUAUAAUAAGAUCACAAAGCAUAUCCUUACGGAAGAGAGAGAGGAGAAUAUGUAGUUACACUUGGAAGUUCAAAAUAAUAGGAUAUGAUAAACGACAUACUGUAACACAUUCCCAUAAUCCCAUCCCUGUCUAUUGCAUAAGUAAAAAACUUAAGAGCGGAUUUUUUUUUUAUCAAAGCUCACCUCCAAAGAUUUACCAAUGGUGCCACCGAUAUGAGUAAGAGAAGAUGUGAUGGCAUCUAAUCCCUUAAUAAUUGUUGGACUGUCCCUUUUGAGAUUUCCCUCCUCUAAGUGAUUCGAAUUUUGGACCUGCACAGAGAAUGACACUAGCAUCCAAUUUCAUGGUUCAAAAAUAAUGAAUAAGUAAUUAAUUUACUAAUCAGAUGAAACUAUGAAAAAAUUAAGUGAAUAUGAUGUAUAUGGCCCCCAUUUGAUGUUCUAUAAAUAUCAUCUCAAUGUAGUUUCCAUUUCUAAAACUGAUAUUGAUCGAGUUCACUGCAUUUUUUUCUUGUACUCUGAAGUGCUACACAGGAUUCCUUUCCUUACCUUCCUUUUAUAUAUAUUUCUCCUUCUUUCUUUUUAUUUGAUAUUAAUCCUUUUAUUUCUAUUAAAAAAUAUAUAAUAGUUGUAUAAAAUGAAGAUCUAGUUGACAAACCUUAACAUUCUAGUCUAUACAAUUCCAACUUUUUCAGGAAAAUAUCUCUAUCUCUUUCAAAAUGUAACACUACAUUUUGUAUGCAACUGAGAUUACAAAUUUUACAGCAAUAUUGCUAUUUACACUGAUUAACCCACGACCACGUUAUGUUACCAAAAUAUUUUUGCAGAAAAAGCUGGAGCUACAAAUCAAUGAAUCCUAUCUCUGAGGACUUGAGAGAGAUAAACAUUAACUCACCUUUCCCCUUGAUGUUACGCCAGGAUAUUGUGACCUUGUUGUCCCAGGUAUUUCAGAUUCUGGUGUUACAAUAUCAUCCUCAAUGAUUGAUUUUGCUUUUCUAGCUAGAACGCCCCAAAAUCCACUCUUGGGCUCAUUCAAUUUCUUCAUAGAUGUAUACUCAUAUGCUCUAGAAUCCUAUAUUUACAAACACCGCACUAUGUUUAGCAAAAUUAACUUAAAAUUUUGAAACAGAAUGAUACAUUCAACAGAUUCUAAAAAUACAAAUUUAAAAAAAAAAUAAAAUAAAUAAGCUUGUGUCACACAUGCAUUUCGAAUCUUCACUGCAUUCAUAUGACCUCAGCAUUAGCUUUAGGUUGUAUGUUCAUAAUUGUAACAAAUAGAUCUUGCAGAUAUCUCAUCUAAUUUUGCAUUACAACAAAUUUGGAACUGGAGUUUUAUGGGCAUCAAUAAUUAAAUAAAGCAGCUUCAACAUCUGAAUUGUGAGUAAUAUCAACCAAAGAAUUCAUGCAACAAGAAAAAUAAACAAAAAAGAUAAAGUAAGGAAUCCUCAGAGAAAUAGUCACACACACUGAUCCUAAAUGCGAGACAUUGCUUUGCUCAUAUGAAGGUCUUCUAAGGAUUUGGAGGCAAUAGGGUCUGUGAGCUAGUUUGAAUAAACUUUCCAAUAUAUUAUAGCAAGAGAAAGGUUGUUGUAGCUAAUAUCUCAUAUCAUAAAUUGAAGUGAACUUCUACACUUUAACUUUUAGAAAAAAUCCAUACUUAUAAGAACUUUCUGGUAAGUUAGUAAAACAUUAUUCAGUUGAGAUUCUCCCAUCAACUAGAAGCUAGUCCAAACUCAUAGGUUUUUGCUAAUUCCUUAAAGUUAAUGCCAUUUUGAAUUGCCCAUAUAUACCACUGCAUAUGCUACACAGGGCAACACAAACCUUGCAAUGCCAGAGGGCUUCUAUUGCCUACUCCCACUUGACCUUGCGUAGGCAAAAAUAUGCCACUAAAAGUUAUGAUCCUAGCUUGUAACGCAUUUGUUAAAGGGAAAAUAGUUUCCCAUAAAUAGUUUUCCAUUUUUACCGGUUUUUUUUUUCUAUUCGGAAAAUCCGUAUCUGACACAAAGACCGACUAAUUCGGGGGACCAAUCCCACCGUCCACUAGUGGGGGCCCAAUUGAAGCCAAAGCAAAGAUUUGAAGAGACUGGCCCAAACAAUUCGAGCAUGAGACCAAGCAAGGAGUCCAUUUUUUCCAGCUUUGUGCUAAAGACUAUGCAAUUGAGUACCUCUUUUUUAACGGCAAAUGUUAAUAGUUAGUUAGUUUGUUAGAUUAAUAUGUUUGAACCCGGGACCUCCAACUCAUCUUCCCUUAGCUCAACCCAGUUGAGUUACCCAACCCCGUGCAAUUGAGUAUCUUUGACAAACACAGAGAAACAGGGGAGGUUUUCAAACUGAAUUAUUCAACUCAUUUCUCUAUCUCUUCAACUUUUAGAAAGAUUUCUAAUCUUCUACCUCUAUCUAAUUUUCUUCCAUCUUAAAAAAAACGAUAUAUUAUACAUAUCAAUCAACAAUAUGAAUACUUCAAAAUAAUAAUAAUAUGCUACAGAAAAAUCAUAAAAAAAAUGCACUCUAAAUUGCAUUAUUACACUUAAACCUAUUGAAUAUCAAAGUUAAUCAAAAAUCACCAGAAAAAAUCAUUGAGAAUACCUUGGAGGAUGGAGGAGGAGCAGUGGGAGUAGGUUGAGACCGAGGAGAAGAGAGAUUGGAGUGACCAUAAAGCGACGAAAGCGAAGAAUCACGACGCGCCGAAGAAGCUCUAAUAGCUUUAGCAGCAAGAGAAUCCGAAGAAGAAGCGUCAACGCCAUCAUUACUCGAAGAAGACGAUACUGCAAUUGGAUUAGGGUUUCGAAUUGCUUCGUCUUCGAAAAUCAAAGGAGAAGAUUUAGAAGUUCCGUAUUGUCUCCUUCUAUACGCCAUUGAAAAAUCAACCUCCUCGAAUUCUGGAUCCAAUCGAAUCGAUACACGAAAUGGUUAUCGGCGCCGUAACGCUCAACGCGGGUUUGCUUCUUCCAGAAUCUUCGUCGGUGACGGUGGUGAGUGGUGGUUCGAUUUGGGAUCCGAUCAUGAACCGGUGAAUAAUUAAUUUUCAAUAGGGAAGUGAAGAACUCUGAUGCAACCGGGUUUAUUACAUCACAUCAAAUCAAAUUGAUAUUACUAUUAAAAUACUAUAAAUAUUUCAUUUCUAAGACCAUUUACAAUGGUUCAGACUCUCAACACCCACUUUUUCUCUUCCCAACACUCCACGUCAUUUUCUCUCUUUUAUUCAACACUCAUUCAACUUUUACCAUCUCCAAUGAUUUUUUCAUUCAACACUCUACCCCACCACUUUUUAUUUCAUAUUCUUAUUUAAUUUUAUAUUUUUGUUUUUCUGAUUACAUAAAAUUACAAUUCUCGAUUAUAAUUAAAUUAAAAUAAUAAACACUUAACAAUUUAUUUUUUAGUUUUUUUGGAAAAAAAAUAAAUUUAUUUAAAUAAUUUAUUUUUAUUUUCUUAAAUUAAAAUGCAAUACAACAAUCUAAGCGCACGACAAAAAAAAAAACUAAUAGAAAGAUAAUCUUAAGAUUAAGAUAGUGAAAAACUUGGUUUUUUUUUUCUGUGUCCAAAUCAAAUGAACCAAGUCUCUAUUUAUAGACAAAAUAAAAUCAUGAAUUUUGGUAUAAAAAAAAAAUUAAAAAUAAUAAUUUGCAAUAAAAUAAUUGGGUUCAAAUUAUUAAAAUGAGUAAAAUCCAGACAGUCAAUCAGAAUUUGCCACGUGACGGCUACGAGUCCCGCAUGGCAGAAUUCAACAUAGUUGAACCAAUUCAACUUCUCUCUCCUCUCUCCUCUCAUUCAACACACCAUUGCAUUGCAUUCAAGUGUUGAACCUUACUUUCAACAUCACCAUUCAACACCAUUGCACAUGGUCUAACAUGAUGAGAAUGAUUAGGUUUUAGUCAAUAUUUUGUGAGUUUUUCUAAUUACACCCUAAUUAUCUUUUUAUAAAAUUUAAUUUUUAAAAAGCAUCUUCCUUUUUUCUUGGUUAUACCCUAAAAUCCUUCUUCAGUUUAAGUAGGUCAUGUAAACUUAGUUUCAGUAGGUCAUGUAAACUGAGUUUGUACAUUUAAAAGUUCAACCUUGUUCAAUGAUUCUACGUAAUCUCACUUUAAGUAUGUACAUGUAAACUUAUUUUAAAUAGGUCAUGUAAACUAAGUUUAAGUAGGGAAACCCUUUCUCCUCAUUUCUUCUUCAAACAAAAAAAAAACUAAGUUUAAGUAUACAUACUUAAACUCAGUUUAAGUAGGUCAUGUAAACUCAGUUUAAGUAGGUCAUGUAAACUGAGUUGAAGUGUACAUCUAAAAGUUCAAUCUUCUUCAAUGAUUAUAAUAUCAGUUUAAGUAUGUACAUGUAAACUUAUUUUAAAUAGGUCAUGUAAACUAAGUUUAAGUAGGGAAACCCUUUCUCCUCAUUUCUUCUUCAAACAAAAAAAACUGAGUUUAAGUAUACAUACUUAAACUCAGUUUAAGUAGGUCAUGUAAACUCAGUUUAAGUAGGUCAUGUAAACUGAGUUGAAGUGUCCAUCUAAAAGUUCAAUCUUCUUCAAUGAUUAUAAUAUCAGUUUAAGUAUGUACAUGUAAACUUAGUUUAAGUAGGUCAUGUAAACUGAGUUUAAGUGUACAUACUUAAACUCAGUUUAAGUAGAUUAUGAACCUACUUAAACUGAAUUUAAGUUAACCUCAACAAUGUAAAACUGAAACUGUGGUACAGUGCAAUUGAACAAGAAGAAGAAAAUUGAAACCAGCGUUAUUGAAAAAGAAGAAAAAAUUCACUUAUUUAUAUGCAAUCGAGUAUGAAUGAAAGAUGUUUUGAUUCACUCUUUAAUCUUCCAUAAAGAUUAAUUGAACAUCAGGAUUGUUUGAUCGUUGGUGGGUGAAAGAGAGUGGAAUUUUAGAGUGACAAUGAAUUAAAUCAAGAUUUUCAGAAAAGUUAUAUAAAAGGACAAUUUUGGUAUUAUCAAAAACUUUUUAAAAAAACUGGGUGUAACCAGAAAUAUAUAGGGUGUGAAUAGAAAAACUCUACUUUUAUACUGCCCGCAAAUAGCUAGGGACAUCCAUCGUGAUAAGGAUGGGUUCGAACCACGGAAUUUUGCAGGGACCAAAACUCAAAUGGUUAGUAUUUGCAUUGAAAAAUUGGAAAGAUUAACAAAUCUAGGGAUCAAAACUCAAAUGACAAAUAUUUGCAAAGACCAAACGUACAAAUAAGUCUCCUAUAUGUUAACAAAAAUGUAAAAAAAUUCAACCAACAUAGAUUGGUAGAUUAAGGAUUACUUCAACGAUGUUUGUUGAACUUUAUAUGCAAAUAUGUUAAUCUAUGUGUUCUUAAGAUUGUAUUUAACAAUUUUUUACAGAUAUUCUAUGUUUAUAUACUACUCGUGAUGAAUAGUUGAAUGUUAUAAAAAAAAUUGGACAUUAUCUCCGUUUUUAAUUUUAGUCAUUCUUUCCAUAUUGCCAUCACUUUAGCCUGAUUUGAAUUAGGCUAAUGCAAGAUUUGAAUAAGCUUUUUCGGUUUGCAUAAAUUCUAUGUUUUGUGUUUUUGACUAUAUUUUAUUUAUGGUUUAAACUUUUAUUAUAUUUUCUUUUUGGAUUGAUACUCUGUUGUUUGAGUGUUUGUCUUUUAUGUUUUGUUGGAUGACUAAAACCUUACAAUGAUAUUGUUGUGAAUUCGAUGAAAAAACACACCAAUAACAACUUGAUGUGUGGAGCAAGGGAUAAUCAAGUAACCAAAACAAGUGUAUGAAAGUUAUAAAUACAAGUCAAAAGUAGAAAACAACGGCGAGAAGAACACAAAGAAGAAGAAGAACACAAAAGAAAUUUGUUGACCUAAUUCGGUCCAAUCUGACCUAGUCUGGGGGAGAGAGCAGCCCUCCAAUCCACUAUAUGAUGAGUUUCGUUACAAAGAGAAAUCAAUGGGUUACAAGAAUAAGUCUCCCGCCUAAUUCUACCCAAAGUCCCAAUCUCUUCCCGUAACCAAGAGACUUCAAUCCUAAUAGUGUUUCCCAAGGUGAAUCAACCCACAAACCCUAGUGUUUGUUCCGAAGAGACAAACUCUAUACAAACCCUAGUUUUGUUGUUGCUUUUCUAACGCCCCGUGCCAAACACGAGAUACAUUUUAUUUAAAAUAUUUUAACAGGGUUUACACAUAAAUAAGUUUUUUAAAUAUUAUUUGACUUUUUUAGUUUGAUUUGAUUCAGAAUUUUGAUAUUAUGUAGUACUUUAUCUUCAUAUUUAAAAUUGAGACAGAGUUGGCAGGUACAUGCCAACUCUGCUUAAAAUAGUGAGAAAAAGUACGACUAUGCUUAAAAUAUAAAAAUACUAUAAAUAAUUACUAUAUUCUUAAAAAUAUAUCUAAUUAAUAAGAGGUAUGAUUACCUCUAUUAUAAUCUACCAUUAUGGCUCUGCCCUCUCUUUAGAAAUCUUCCGCCACCUCACCCCCUUUUUUCGAUACCUUCAUAACUUACGAUGUACCAACAUGCAACGAUGGUGUGAUGAGUGGCGUCGUCCCCCCGCACCACCCUUUUUCCGGUUCCCAGAACAAUUCGUGUCGUUGGUUUUUGAUUCAACCAGUACCGCAUUUGCUACGGGUGGUGGUUGUUGAGUUGUUGGUAUUCAUAAAUUGUUGGUUGUCACCGGCGAUCUUGUUUGGUUCUAUGUGUUGGCUUCUCAAUGGCUGAACCCCGCGUUGGUUUGGUUGAAACUCGAAAUUGUCCGUUCUUUAUCCUCUAUUUUGCCACUGUUUUAGACCUUUUUCGUAGCCGUGUGGAUUGGUUAUGGUGGGUCAUUCGAAUCCGCCAUCUCCUCCCUUUCUUUGGAGGUAGUUGCGGUUCUAUGUUGGGCCAGAAAUGACUGUUAAUUUGAUGUUGAUCAUAGCAGUAAACUGUUAGUGUGUGUGGAUUUGUUAAUUACUGUGUUGGCGGUUGAAUCUACUCCACACUCUCAAGAAUAUGUAUGUGUUUCGUAUCCCAUUAAUCCUUGAUUGACAUGAGACUGUGUGGACUUAAAAGAGUCGUUAAUGCUUGUUGCCGUUGUUGCAGGGAGUUGAUGGCACGUGAUCCGAUUUUGUGUUGAAGAUCGAUCAAUUCGCCAAAUUAUAGACCCGCUUUGCCCUCACAAACGUCUAUCGUUAAUGAUAUUCGUUUGUUAGAAUUAAUUAGGGUUGAAUCCACUUUGUUGAUCUUUUUUAUGUAUUUCCCGUUAGGUUGGAUCUACUUGGAUUGACUGGACCAGAUUUUUUGUCCUCCCAAAUUUCAUAUAAUUUUUUUCUUUUUUUAAUAAUAUAUAUGAGCAACUGACAAUCGAUUAAAGUAGGGUACCAACUUAAUUCAUAUUAUUCUUUUUGCUCUUGUAUUAUGAAAAUAUAAUAAAAAAUCUACCAUUUUGAAUAAAGCUAUUAUUAUUUUUAUUUAAUCACAAUACUCUCUCGGAUUUCAAUUAUAAAAAAAAUAUCUAAGUUAAAAAAUGUACUUAUAUGCAAUUAGUUUUCUCGAAUGUUUCUAAAAAAAGAUAAAUUUGUGAAAAGUACCAUCUAUUGGAACUUGUUUCAUGAGAAUAAAAAAAUAUUAAAAAUAAAACUUACAUAAAUUAAAAUGUAUAUUAGGAUAAAUAACAUUAAAUAGAGUCAAAGUAAGUUAUAUAUUUUUUUUAAUUUAAGAUAAUAAAAGGUAGUUGUUUAUUUUUUAUAUCUAAGAUUGGAGAGAGUUCCUAAAAAAAUAUUGGAGAGAGUGAGUAUUUCUCUCGGAAGCAAAUUAUCUCUAGUGAGAAAAAUUUGAGAAAACAAUUUUAUUUAAUCUUCUCUCUUCAUUUUUUUUAAUUACAGAUCAAGGGUCACAAAUUAAAACAAUCUAACCUAAUUUCGUUAUGUUUUAGUGUAGUUAUGAUUUCGAAUUCAUCAUUUCCUCUUUUUUCCAAGCAAACACUUCCUCCUUCUUAAUGUUCCUAACCAAAAUCCACAAACUAAAACCUCCAUCAAACAUGGGAACAAAAAGGUAGGAGAUCUAUAUCAACCCACUCAAUUUCAUGCAAGUUCUUCAACUCCUCAAUGGCGAUCCUAAGAGUAAGGUUAAAAAAAUUCUUCUGGUAUGCUAAUGUGGGAUAGAUCAGGCAACUGAAAAUAAAGGUAAUUGUUUUACCAUUUAUUAGAAAAUGUAUUUACUAAAAGGAUUGUGGAAAAAAUCUCCUUCAUCAAAUAAGCAUACAUUUUCUUCAGUUCUUUUUGUCUCCAUAAUUUAACGGUUGAAUUUGAUCUUAGUUGAUUGAAAAUAAUUUUGUAACAUCGUUUUCCAAUCUCUAAAGAAACAAAUAAAAUGGUUCAAGUAAAUGAAUAAAUAUGUACGUUUCAAUGGUAUUAAAUAAGUUAUAAAUACAUACCUAGGAACAACUUAACUUUUGCCAACAAAAUUGUCAGAUUCGCCUUUUUAAAUUUACCGGAAGAUAGAAAAAAGAGUACGUACAAACAUAUAUCUCUUAAAAAUUAAUCGACAAAUAAUUAAAAUAAUAAUAAAAUAUCAUAAUGUAUUAUAUAUUAAAAAUAAAAACAAAUCGAUUUCACCCAUUCAAAUUCAAUUCAAUGUUCUUGUAAUGUAUCUUUGUACUCUCCUUCAAUAUCCACCACAAUUGGUUUAAUUUCUUUCAUUCUUCAAGGCUUACUUAAGUAAAAAUUAUUUUAUUGAAUCCUUAUUAUUUUUAGUGUGGAGAGAGUGCGGAAGCUAGGAAAGUCGAUUGGGUUAAGUGAGAUAAGGUGUGUCAUGGUCGAUAUAGUUGUUGCUUGAGGGUUCGUAUAAUGCAAAAUUUCAACUUAUCUUUGUUACGUGAAUAGUUUUGGAGACUAAUAUGGAUCAAUGAGUUUGCAUUUUAAAGUUUUAGCUUCUUAGAAUAGGUUGGUUGAGUUCAUGUGAAGAGUGGGGACAAUUAGGCAUAUGUGUGGUAAUAUUACUUCCAUGGUGUUAAAAUAGGGGCGGAGAUGGGGAUUAGAAAUUGGUUUGAUGACAACUUGAUGAUAGUGGAUACUUUUUUUUUUUGCAAUAAUUCGUGGUUGUAGAGUGGUCCUUUGUGUGAUAUAUUUAGAAGAACUUUUGAGUUAUAUCAAAAUAACUCUAAGCCAUUUAAGGAGAUACGUAGGUUAUGGUUGGAUGGGGUGGAGACGAUGCCAUAGAAUUUUUCUUGGAAUGAGGUGCAGGGGAUAUAUUGUUGUUAUUUGUUGGACAACAUUAUUUUUAAGGCUAGCGUUUUUUAUAAGUUUCUUUAAAGUUGAUCAUGGUGAAAGGUACCCUAACAAAGGGGUAUAUCAUCUAGUUGCAAGUGGAGCAUGAUGAACCUAUGGCUCUAAAAAAUCUCAUUAGGAACAAAGUAGCUCCUCUAAAUGUCUCUCUCUUUUCGUGGAGGCUCUUGAAUAUCUGAAUUAUAAUAAAUGGCAACUUAGUUUGAUGUGUAGUUAAAAUAUGGACUUAUUUUUAUGUUCUGGCAGAUGUGAAAAAGAGAAGAAUUAUCUUUUUUAUUUUUAUUGUGAUCUUCCAAUUAAUUAUUGUGAGGGUACUCUUCAUUUCAGUGGUUCUCAAUUGUUCAAAAAAAAGUUCGUUUUAGUUUUUAGUUGAUUUUGCUGACUUGCAUUUGGAUUAUUUGGAAAGACAAAAAUUCUUACAUUUUUGUCACAAGAACCAGUUUAUGGUGUUGUUAGAUAAAUUUACAUUUCUCGUUUACUGGAUACAAAAUGAUAAGAAAUCAUGUAUGUAUUUUGAGUUGAAAUGUUGGUGGAAUAAUCUUUCUACUUGUCUUGGUUAUUCUACCUCAUGAUUUCGUUCUUUUGUAUCUAUGCAUCUUGAACUUUGUAUUUUCCUUUAUUGGGCACAUUUUGUGCUUGAAGGAUUUUUAAUAUAAUUGAUUUGAGGUCUUCAUACAAACAAAAUUCACCUCAGUCAAGACACCAACUACAUAAAUAUAUAAUUUAUUUCAUGUUGUUAGAAAGGGAUGGGGGUUUGAAAUUAGUUUGAUGAUAAAAAUAUGAUUCAAAUUACAUUUCAUGUCCUAAGCAUCAUUGAAAACAUCAUAUGCAGUGUAAACGAAUAGAUGUUUGUAGGGACUAAAGAAGAUUUAGAUAUUUUGACGUUUGUGUUAAUUGUAAAAUUCAGUUUGUAUUUGUUGUGUGAUGGUCUAUACGAACCACUAUUGCAAGAAAAAUCAAAUGAGGAAACCGUGAACACCAUUCCCUCUUAGUGCUGCUCCUUGAACUUGUGGAACAAUGUUCUUUGUAUAAACUCACAUAUUUGAUCACCCUAGAUAACAAAGAUUAAAACACUAUACUUUAAACAAAAAAAUACAAAAAAAAAAAAUACAAAAAAAAAAUGGUAUGAAAAAAGUACUUUUUUAUCCAUUAGAACCAACUCCUUAGAAAAUUGUAGUUUUUUAUUUUUGUAGUCUUGAGACGAACAACCCUCACAACCAAUGUCCACGAUUAUUUUCUUGACGAAACAUCAGAGAUGAAGUAGUGUUUCGUAGACAUUUUUCUUUGCAAUAGAAAAAAUUAUAAAAAUUACUUAGAAUAGAUAUCAGAGAACCAGAGAACAGAAAAAGAAGAACUAUAUUUUGUGAUUGUUGUGUACUCGUAUCCAAAAGUGCUACUAUUUAUAUAGAAAAAUAGUACCAUAACGGUUAAUAUCUAUUAAUUAUUAAUUUGACCGUUUUAAAAUUAAUAUUAUAAACGUAUUUAAUAUUAUAAAAUGUGCAUUAAACGAUUAGAUUAUAUUUCAUGUAACCUACAAAAAAUUAACUUCAUAACAUUUGAAAUUUAAUAAUAUCUUAUUAAUAUUAAGUAAUAUAUUUUUGUAACGAAUAAAAAUUAAUUAUAUAACCUUAAAAACUAAUUACUACUAUUAAAUUUUUAAUUAGUAUGUUACUGUCAUAGUGUAACGGACCAAAAUUCAAAAUAUAAUUUAUUCAAAUUAUUUAUUAUAAUUUUGUAACCUACCAAAUUUUUAAUGUACCAUAUAAAUGUUGAUUGAAUAAUAAUUAUAUUAAUAAUCAUUUGAUUCUAACAUACAAAUUUUUAAUGUAACAUAUAAAUUUUAAUCGAAACAAUUAUUAUAUUAAUAAUUAUUUUAUUGUAACCAACUAUGUAUUUUAUGUACAAUUUAAUGAUUAAUAAAAAAUGGUUUUUAAUAAUAAUUAUAAUUAUUAAGCUUGUAUUAAAAAUUAGGAGAAAUUUUUGGAACAAAUGCCACGUAGGAUUAUGAUGAUGUGGACAUCUUUAGAGGAGAGAAUUUUGGAAUAUGCUAUUUCUAAAAACUCUAAAUUGUUAGUAUAAAGAUAUGCACACAUCAUAUAUGUCUAGGGAGCAAUCUCCUCGCCAUUAAAACAAUUUCAAAACGAAAAACCGGUCUUGCAAUCAUAUAUGUCUAUGUAUUUUUUUUUUGUCCCUCCAAAUAUGUCUCAUUUUGGUUUUGGUUCCUGGCCCCACUUUUGUGAUGAUUUGCACACGUGGCACAUGAUGACUGAAUCCAUUAAUUAGAAAAAUAGUCCCUGCAAAAUCUUUUGAUUUUUAAAAAGGUUUCUGCAAAUUUAUUUUUUUAAAGGUCCCUCCAGGGACUAUUUUCAAAAACAAAAUAUUUUACAGAGACCAAAAACAACAACAAAAAUUACAGGGACUAAAAUCAAAACAAAACAUAUUUGCAGGGACCAAAACCAUAUUUUAGCUUUUUUUAACACUUGUACGAGUUUUUUAACGCAUGUCAUAUGAGUGUCACACAAGUGCCAGACACUCUUCCAAUGGGUGUCAAAGAAAGGGAAAAAUAAAAAUGGGACAAUUGUCUUAGCUUGACAUGGGUCAGACACCGAAGAGCGGUGUAACACACUAUUAGAGGACUCAUUCUAGAGAUAUAUAUGUGCUUAAUAGAUUGAAGAGUGUUAUUUGAACAACCAAUUUGGUGACAACUUACUUGACAACCAUAUUUUACAAAGAAAAAAGUGGUAUUGGCAUGGAAACCAUAACAAUAGAGAGAUAAAGUAAAAAAUAAUGUAAGUAUGAAAAAGAAAGUUGUUGCAAAAGUUGUUAAUAAAUAGAUGUUCAAAUAUCAUUUCUCUAAUAGAUUGAACCAUCUUAUUGAAAAUAAUGAGUCAAAUCAUUAUCAUGAUGAUUAGAAUCACCUAAGCAAAGUGAGCUCCUCGAUAUGUUCAUGAUAGAUGUUAAGGUUAGAGAGAAUGCGAUAUGCCUGAAUUGAAGAUAUUGGUGAUAUAUAUAAAAUUAAUUGAGAAUAAGACAAUCAAAACAAUGUUACUUAUUUUCAUUACCAUCACCUUCGAGUACAAAGCAAUAACUAUACAUGUCUUGAAAUUUUAAAAGAAAAUUAUUUGGUGCCAACACCAAAACAAAAUGAAACCUCAUGAAAUAUUCUAAUAAGUUGUCUGUGUACUCUCUCGAAUGUGACACUAAAUAUAGAAUCACGCGGUCACAAAAUUUAUUGGGUCAAACAUUUUAACACAUUUACAUUGUUUCUUUUUACACGUCAGAUGAAACUCGGACAAACAUCGCAUAGUUCUUGGACAAUCAGAAGGAAACACACAUCUAAUACCCGCUGUAAUAAUAAAAGAGAAUAAAAGAAUGUAACUAAAAUGGGAUAUAAUAUUGUUUACAAAUUACAAAAGAAAAUUUGAAAAGGAUAAAAUUAAAUUGACUUACCGUGAACAUUCGUUGAAACAAGAAAAAGGAAAAUAAAAAUAAUCAUACCAUAAACAUACUUGAUAAUUUCAGCCAUAUUCCUCCCCCGACCUUUUCAUGUAACACAUAGUUUCAUCACUUUCUAAUUUAUAAAGUUAAUACUCUCCUAAUGAAUUAAAUAGUUUUAAAUACUUUUGAGGUUGUAAAAAGCCUUCUCAUUAUAUGUCACUUAAGUACAUCAAUAUGUUGUUUUUCCCUUUAGCAUAAUUAGUAAAGAUGUCACAUAAAAAAAUAUUAAUCUCUUAAUUUUUAUUUUUAUUUUCACUUUGUAAGUUUCCAUUAUUUUAUAACUUUUUAUAAUAGAAAAGAAAAAAUCGUAAAAAUUAUAAUGCAAAAACAUUAUAUGGAAGAAGCAACAAUCCAUCUCUAAGACGGCAUCCCAAGACCACCACAAAUCAUUUAAAGGCACCCCAAUAAAUAUAUUAUAAGGAAAAUAAGAGAACACUUGUUGAAACAAAACAAAAACGAAAAAAAGAUAAUAAUAACGUUAAACAAAUUUAAUAAUUUCAGCCAUAUUCCUCCAUCCUAUGCUUUUCCUUUAACAAAUAAGUUUUAUCAUUUUAUAAUUUAUAUAUCUAAUCCUAUCAUUAUAUUAUAAAUAGUUUUAAACACUUUUGGAGUUUUAAAAAAUCGUUCUUAAAAUAUGAUCACUCUAAAUGUCUCUUAAAUACAACAAUGUAUUGUGUUCAUCUCUUUAACACGCUUUGUAAAAAGGUCACUUAAAAAACAUAUCAAUCAUACAAAAUCAUCCUCUUUUUUUUUUUUUUUUUUUUUAUAAAUUUCCAUUAUUUUAUAACCUUUUAUGAUAUGAAAUGGUAAACCAAAAAUUUGUCUUUGUUUAAAAAAAAAUAGAGUGCAAAGGCAUUUUAUGGCAUAAAUGAUAUCCGAACUAAGAUGACAUCUCAAGACCAUCAUGUAACAUUUGCAGACACCCUGAUAAAUAUAUUAAAAUAAAAAUAAGAGAAAAUUCUAUGAAACAAGAUAAAGGGAAAUAAAGAUGAUUAUAAGAUUAACAAACUUGACAAUUUCUGCAAUGGGAAAUGUUAACUUUUUGUUAUGCUUUUGGGGGAGAAAGUCAUGUUUCUCUCUCUAUCAUAUUUCUCCACCUUCUUUUUAAAAUAUAGUAGCGCCGAUCAACUCUUCCUCUCACCCCAAAUCCAAACAUGUUGAUCAACCCGAAAGGGUCAUGUUAUUGUCAUUGACGUAUUGGACUCAUCCCUCGAUUUGAGUUCUUACGCGUUUUUUCGAACUGUUGUGUUUGGUGGUAUGAUUUUUUCGAUUCUCUGAUAUUCCAGAUUUGUUAAGAUCUGCAGGUUUCGACGAGUCAUGUCUACCUUCACUCUGGUUUUGCUCGAAAGAGCUUUUUGCGCUUGUUUUUUAUCAUGAAGUUGUUGGUACUUGGAUUUUGAUACAGUGUUGACGGUCGAUCCAUUCACCAUAUUUAAACUCUAUCUGUUAUCUGUAGAUUUUCACUUUUCAUACUUUUUUGUAAUCUGGUUUCGCGCCCGUACGCGAGUUCGUUGGAUUGCACAUGUGAUUAGUGAAUUUUUGUUAUGAUAGAUUAGAGUAGAUCCACUUGGACUGUUUUAUCACGUUGUAUUUCCGCUUGAGUUAUUCCUAGGUCAGGUCUAAUGUUUCUCUAGUCUUUAUAUAUCUUUGUUUUUAUUUAAUAUAUUUUCUCCUUUGCUUAAAAAAAAUCCCGCAAUAUUCAUCCACUUAGCAUUUUUCAUGUAACAAAUAGCUUAAGCAGUUAAUAAUUUAUAUAUAGUUAAUCCACUCUUUAUAUUAUUCAAUUGUUUUAAGCGCUUUUUGAGUUUAAAAAAUAAAUAAAUAAAUUAGAUCAUUGUUAGAUGUAUCUUAAAUACAUCAAUAUGCUGUGUUUUUUCUUUUAACACACUUAGUAAAGAGGUCACAUAGAAAGCAUAACAAUUGUAGAAAUUCUUCUUUUUUUCUUCAUAAAUUUUCAUUAUUUUAUAAUCUUUCGUAAAAGAAAAUGAAAAAUCAUAAGGUUUGUUUUGAUUGCAAAAAUUAGAGAACAGAGACCUUAUAUAUCAGAAAUGGCAUCUUAAGACCACCACCUAUCAUUUGUAGGCACCGGAAUAAAAUAUUAAAAAUAAAUGAAUAAAUAAGAGGACAAGAGGUGCAAACCAAUUUCAGUUUACUUAUAGAGCAUCAAAAGUCACCAAAACAUUUUUUCGAUCUCUAACAAUAGCUAACAAACACCAUGAUAAUCAAUAUCUAAAAUUCAUUGUUUAUGAUUUUGGGAUUUUUUUAAAUAACUCUAAUUGUGAUGAAUUGGUUGAUUGAUUAUGAAAUUAGAAAUAUAAAAAAUAUAUUUGUAUUAUGAAUUUUUUUUCGAGUUUUUUAUUGCCUCCUUACUCUUUGAUUACUAUUUGGUUUCACAGGUCUACUUUUGUUUGAACUUCAACUAUUACUAGAAAUUUAAGUAUGUUAUUAUGAAAAUUGAUGAUAGAAUAACAUAUUAUGUUUUUUACUAUGCUUUUAGUGUAAUUCUUUGCAUUUGAAGGAAAAUUAGAAGUCAAUUAGAGGAGUUGUCGUUUGUUUGAGGAAUUUUUUGUAUUGUUUUCAUUCGAAUCAUUGUAAUUCACUUUUAUCUAAAUCAUGCAACUCAAUUGGUGUUUUGAAUGUUUUGUAGUGAGAAAUCAUGUAGAUCGACAAAUCAAUACAUCACGUGAAGGAUUGAGGAUAUGAAGAUUGAAGUUCAAUGAUGUUAGAAGGUAUUUGAAGACAAUACAAAGUGAAGAGAACACUGAGAGAAGAAGAAUAGCAAAAGAGAAAGAAGAAAGAGAAUGGUGGACUGUAUAGAUCUCGUAAAAAUAAAAAGAAAAUCUAACAUUUAAUUGGAAAUUACUUUUGUAUCCUUUAGUAUUAAUUUUCUCAAAAAACAAAAACAUGGACAUUUGCAUCAAAGUGAAAAGGUGAUGGUUGCUAAAAUAGACUUUCAUAAAAAUGAGUGGGUCUAUUGUAGCAAACCCCAUAUAUAUAUAGGGACUAAAACUUUUGCAUGAUCGAUGAAAAUUUUAGAGGGACUAAAACUUAAAAUUUGAAAAUUUUAUAGGGAUAAAAAACUUAUGUAACCCUAAAAACUAUUAUACAACUUAACUGCUAAGGUAUGUUGAUGGACGGUAGGGUUAGAAAAAAAUAGAGAGACGAAAAUAAUCUAAAUAAUAUUUUUUUUUAGCAAAUCAAAAUGAAAUAUAAUAAUCUAAAUAAUAUUAUUUGCUGCCUUAUUUUAUUUCAUUACCAUCCUGUAAGAGUACAAAACCAUAACUAUAAGGUUCUUGAAAUUAGAAAGAGGAAAAGAUUCAAACAAUUAAAUGCCAACACGGUAAGUAAAUGACAGCUAAUGAAGUAUUCUAGUAGGCGUUUGUGUACUCUCUUUGGUCGAACACUAGAUCAUGUGGGCACAAAAUCUAUUGGUGCAAGUAUUCUAAGACAUGUACAUAUUUUUCUUACACACCCUAUUUGAAAACCAGCAUCACAAUACAUUGAAGGGGGACAAUCAGAAGGUCUAAAGCACUUAUUGCGGAUUGCUGCAAUGAAGAAAGAUAAUAAAGUAACAUAACUAAAUCAGAUGAAAUAUUGUUUACAAAAUAAAUAAGUAAAUUUGAAAAGGAUAAAACCGAAUUACCGUCAAUGUUCGUUGAAACAAGAAAUAGAAAAAUAAGGAUAAUCAUAACAUAAAUAAAUUUGACAAUUUUAGCCAUAUCCCUCCACCUCACUCUUUGCACGUAAGAAAGAGUUUUAUCACUUUAUUUAUAAAGCUAAUUUUUACUUACAUCAAUUAAAUAAUUUUUAGUUUUUUUUUGAAGUUGUGAAAAACCGUUCGUGAAAUUAGGAUUGUCACGAAUUGUCUCUUAAGUAUAUCAAUAUGAUAUAUUUAUCCUUUGACUCACUUAAUAAAUAAAUAACAGAAAAAACUUAUCAACAAUAACAUUUAAUUGUUUUUUUUUACUAAAUUUCAUUUAUUGUAUAACUUUUCAUGAUAUGGAAGGGAAAAUGACAAUUUAAAAAAAAAAAGUUAGAGUACAUAGACAUUAUAUGGAAAAAUGACAUCACAAUUAUGACGGUCUCCCAAUACCACCACCUAUAAUCUGCAACACCGUAUGACUAUAUUAAGAUAAAAGUAAAACAAGAGAACUUUGUGUGUGUGGUGGGUGGGGUCUAGACCAAAACCUAAGAAAAUAAUCAUGUGAACAAACACCAUAUGCUUCAUUAAAAGCCUUACUAGGAAAACCCAAUAGAUAAAACCAUGAUGUACGAAAAAAAUGUGCAGUGCAAGGAAAAAAACUUUAAAACUUUGGGGAUAGGGGGUAUAUGUAUUGAAGCUUGUACAACUUUAGGUUUGUAUUUUGAUGAUGUUAGUUAGGGUGGCGUUUAGCCUGGGAAAGCAAAGUUGUUUCCCAUGAUGGGAAACUUUGCUUUUUACCUGCAGCUGGCAGUCAUGACCUGUUGUGAUAAUAAAAAAUAAUAAUUAAUUAAAACAGAUUAAAAUGCCAAAUAAAUGACUUUGCAUUCUCAGAGAACAAAUGACUCAUUUGUGUCAUAAUCCUACUCCAAUUGCACGCUGUUGAAACAAAAAAUUAAAACAAAAUGGUUCUGAUGAAAAUGAAAUAUUUCAUGGUUCAAUGUUACAAAAUGCUUGGCUCUUCUUCUCUGCAUCUUUCUUAUUGUUCCUCUUCUCUGCUUCUUCCUCCACCAUAUUUUAUACAGUUCUGUAAUCUUUGUCCUGCUCCGUGUUGUUUAUCCGUCACUGUGAAUCCAAUCGCAAAUAUUGUGAUCCUAUUGUUGUGGUGAUUUUUCAGAUCUAUACAUUUUCUUUUUGUUGUGAUUUUUUAGAUCUGAACUUUAAGUAAGAAAAAUUGACGAAGAUGAUGAAGAUCCAUUGAAGAAGAGAUGAAGAAAACAUGUAAUAUUAAACUGUCAAUUUAAUAUCUCAAUAAUCUUGGUUUUUCUUGGGACAAAUCUUAAUAUGGGUUUAAAUGAAUGAGAUUCAAUUGAUAAAGGUAGCUUCUUUACAAAAAUUAUUCAGAUAGAUAACAGGGUGAUGAUAACAAUAAUGCAUUAACCUUUGCUAAGAAAGAACAAGACAAAAAAUACAGACGUAGAGGAAGCAAUAUUUGUGUGAAUUGAUAAUCAAACAAAAAGUGUUAUUUAAUUCAUAUUUAAUUAGUUAAGGUAAUCGACUAAAUUAGUUAGAGAGAAUAACUUUUUUUCUUCAAAAGAAACACUGUUACAAAAAGUGAACAUCUAAUUGUCAAUCUUUAAUCAUAAUCGUUGAUUAUUUUUAUUAUUAUAUCAAUGGCUCACAUUCAAUUUUCCCAUGAUGGAAAAAUACUUUCUUUUCCCAGGCUAAAUGCCAUCGUUAGUUAGAUGUUCUUAGAUGAUGUUAGUUAGAUGUUUCUAUUUGAUGUUGUUUGGAUUUUGGUAUCAUAGCAUAGAAUCAUGUUAAAGCGCCUAGGAAACCAUGCCUCAUUGUGUCAUAUGAUUCCUUGGUGUCCUGUGUAUUGUUUUUACAAAUGAAACUUCUUCAUUGCUGGUCAAAUUUGUUUUCUAGGUGUGUGAAUCGAUUCAAUGGAUCUUGAAUCAUAUCAUUAAAAGUCUCUGACAUUUGGUGCAUCGAUUCAUAGUUUAUGAAUCGUAUCAAAACGAAGCUACAAAAGCUAAAACAUAAGAACUAAGACCCAUAGGGUCAAGAAGAGAUAACAUGACAUGCAAACUAAGGCCAAGAGGCCAUGAAGAAUUAACGACAAAAAGGCGACCAAGGUCGAAAGAUUAAAAGCAAAAGAAGAGACGAAUUUGAAACCACGAAGAACAACAAAUAUUAUAAGAAAAGGGAAAACAGAUUCAAAACCAUUAAGGCAAGUCAACAUAAAUACGACGUCUCAAAAUAGAUAUCCCAUCAAAAGCUUAAAGAAUACUGAAGGCGCUUUAGAGGGCUAGCUCACUUAAGUUGCAUCAAAAAUAAAGUUGCAAAGUAUAAUAGCUCCACAAAGGGCUCGCCCAUGCCAUACACCAAUGAACUCGCUGAAGGACAUGUAAAAUGCAGAUAUUGCCCACACUCAAAUAUCGAAAGAGCAACAUUAUAACUAACCACUUCGCCUUAUCCUAAGACUCAUGCUUGGGGAGUUGUGGACUAUCGAAUUUAUAAUUAAUCAUUUUGCCUUGUCCCAAGACUUGUGCUUGGGGGCUGUGGACCGUCAAUAUAUAAUUAAGGGUACAACGCCCUCCAGAAGGGCCAAAAACAGCCUUAGGUGCGCCGCUUUAAGUGCGCUACUUGAAAAGGCUUCUAGAAGCAUCUAGAACGUUCUAAAGUACAUUGUACGAUCGACCUUACAUAUUCAUCAAUUUGCCUUGUACCAAGACUCGUGCUUGGGGGGCUGUGGAUCGUAAAUAUAUUCUUAAGGGCUCGAAUGCCCUCUAGAAAGGCUAAGGCGUCCUCCAGAAGGGCUCUUAAGGCUUAGACGUGCUCUCCCAGGCGCCGCCUCAACUAACUUCUAGAAGCAUCUAGAACUCAGUAAAAAGACUUAAAGCCCACAUUACUUGGGUUUUAAGUCUCGGGAAACCAAGCCCACAGAUGACUGUAAAUACACCUCUUGAGAGCACUCUCAAGACAUCUCAUAAACAGUCUAAACCCUAAAUUCUAUUAUUAUACUCACCGCAAGUACAAAUAUUAUGGUUAGGUGUUUCGUUGUUUGUUAAGUUCUUGAAGAUGAAUUUUGAAACUUUAACUUAUUUUGCAAUGAUGUUGAGACCUUAAUUUAUUUUAAUUGAAGUUGAUGAACUAUUUCCCUGCUUUUUAAUUAUGAUUUUGACCUAUGAAAUGGUGAAACAUUGAGUAUGGGUAACACCUAUUUAAAUAAUUGUAUUUUUAUUUAAUAUAUAAAAGUUAGGGGUCUUAAGGUGUUACAAGUAAGAUGUCAAUUAUGUGAUUUGAUUCAAGUACUUAACGAUUUUCAUAAAAAAAAAAAAAUCAUUCGAAAAAAACUCGAGUUCAAUUACUCCUUCCGCCCCUUUUUAUAGGAGUAUAUUUGGAAAAAGAGUAAUCAAUACAUUUAGGAAUUUGUAUAUGAUCUUAUAUUUAAAAAAUAAAACUUUUUUAUAAACUACUACUAUUAAAAACGAAGGAGUUAAUAAAAAAUAAAACAACUUUUACGACCAAACUUCAUAUUAUCAAGAAUUCUUUCAUCUAAAAACGAAUGGUUACAAAAUAAGAGAUUAAAAGUGCGAGAAAAGGAAAGAAAAAAAGGCAACAAUAAUAGAAAGACUUAAAUGCAAUUUUCCUCUUCUAUAUUUCAAAAUAGGCUAAAAUAUGGUUUUAGUUCCUGCAAAUAUGUCUCGUUUUGGUUUUAGUCCCUGGUAAAAAAAAAAUUUGUUUUUGGUUCCUGUAAAAUUUUUUGUUUUUGAAAAUAGUCCCUGAAGGGACUAUUUUCAAAAACAAAAAAUUUUGCAAGGACCUUUUUUAAAAACAAAAUAUUUUGCAGGGACCAAAAACUACAAAAUUGGUUCAGUUAUAAUGUGCCAUGUAUGCAAAUCAUCACAAAAGUGGGGUCAGAGACUAUUUUCAAAAACAAAAAAUUUUGCAGGGACCAAAAACAAUUUUUUUUUUACCAGGGACUAAAACCAAAACGAGGCAUAUUUGCAGGGACUAAAACCAUAUUUUAGCCUUCAAAAUAUUACGAUUUUGACCCUUAAUUAGAAAAAUAAAAAUUUUGCUCCAUAUCUUUAAAGAAAUAUACUAUUUUGCCUCUCUAUCUUUAAGGAAUUAAGUUCUUUUACCCUUUUUCUUUACAAACUCUUACAAUUUUGCCCCCCUCUUUAUAACAUUUUAUAAUUUUUUUUAUUUUUUUAUUAGAGGAUCAAAAUCAGAACUUUUUAAAAUUUUAUGAGGUCACAAAUUCACUACUAAUAGAAAAGACGGUACUACUACUGGUGUUGAUGGAAACGAGUGAGAAUCAUAUAUCGUGAAACUCGCACAUACAUAGGAAACAUGUUCAUCAGAAAAUGGCAGGUGUGUCACCCAUUUACAAAUUAUACAAUUACAAGUACCCAGGUAGUUCAUGAUUUUCUCCGCCAGUUUAAUUAGUGACCUCAACCUAAACUCCUUUCUAUAAGUACACCAUUUUCCUAUGUAGAAAAAACACUAUUUUCAGUAAACUACAGUAAAUACUAUAACUAGUAUUAUUGAUAAUAGUGCAUGAACAGUACUUGUAGUACUUUUUGCUUAUGGAAGAUAAAAGAGAAAGAGUGGUUUAAAGGAGUAACAACAACCCCACCUUUCAACCUUCUUUUCCUAUUUCUUUCUCUCUUUAUCAACAGUACUUGUACAGUACAGGUAGUUGAAUUUUUUAUUUAUGUGUGAUAAAAGGGUCUCUCUUACUUUCAGAAAGAAAGGUGAGUGUUUCUUUAUCAUUCUAAGGAAAAAAAAAAAGAAGGAGAAGAAACUUUCAGAAAUUUUCACAAAUUUUUAGUUCUGAAUUUUUCUAUAUUUAGUUUAAGUUGCAAUUGUAAAAGUAUUUUUUUCUAAAUAAUUUCCUUUGUUAAAAGAUGAUUUAUUUAUUUUGUUUUGAUCUGGUUUUCUUUGGAAAUAGUGCCUUAUGCCAGAUUUGUGUGGAUAUGAGAUCUUCAAUCGUUUUCUCUUCUUCUCUGAUUCUCAUGAAGACAUUAACUACAGUACACUUCCACCUUCUCUGUUUGAAACUACAGUUUCACUUCCGUGAUCUCUGCUUUUGACCAUUAAUUUUCUACUCUUUACUUUUUUGGUUACUGUUUCUGGUUUAUUUUAUAGGUAUAAAAUAAUAACUCCUCUGGUAUUCUGAUUCAUAUUUUUAUUUUUUAUUUUUAUUUACACCCUUUCUUUGCAUCUGGUUUCUUUUGUGGAAGCUUCUGGAUUUUAGAUUGGCUUUGAUGAGCUUUGUUUCAUGAAAAUGGUGAAGCAGUAAGCUGAAGAUGUAGUUUUUAUUUAUUUAGAUUUAGAUUCUUGUUAAUUGUAUUAUGUUUGAGAUUUUAUGCUUCUCAAUUUUAACUUACAUCUGGGAUUUGAUGAAUUGUGCAUGGAUUUGGAAGGGCUAGAACAAAAGCCACACUUUUAACUUUUAAUGUUGAAAAAUAUUUAUUUAUGUGAAAACCUUGUAUGACCUAGGGUUAGGGUUCUUGCAAAAAUUUGAUUUUUUAAAUAUCUACAAGCCAAUUACACCAAAAUAUUGUUAGAUAUAUCUUCCCAUUGCAGUGCUUGGCAUAUUAAGGAUUUUACAGUAUAUAAUUGUUAAUCUUUAAUUCACCAAACAUUGGGAAAGAUUUCAGAUCUUCUGUAAAUUCUUGUCCAAAGUAAGAUCAGUUAAAUUUAUCCUACCUAUGAGAUCUGCAUGUCAGAUGCUCAUAAUAUCGUAUUCAUCAAUAUAAUUUGAGCAUCUUUGGUCAUCUAUGAGCCCUUCAUAGUUGAAUCAAGGGAGUUAUAAAUUGUUCUAAUCUUUGGUUAUCAAUGAUCGAUUUUUGCUCUUGAACUUCCUUAUUAAGAAAAAUAGUUCAAGAGAGCUCUCUUCAGUCCACUCAUGGAUAGGAAAAGGUUUUGAAUUAGCUGCUGACUCAUUCAUUCAAACACAAUAAGAAGAAGCAUGAUGAAUAUGCUAUAUUGUGAAUGUGUGAAUGAUGCGGGAGCUAAAUUUCAUCUUUCUCUUGUCUUUGCUUGGACUGAAGGGAGCUCCCUUUUGCUGUUUAUAUAUCACUUUCUUCUUAAUUUUAUUACUCAUUUUCCCCUUAGACACUUGUGAUAAUUUGAAAAAAUAGAUAUAAUUAUAUGUGUAUGUAUCAAGAUGCUUUAGAUAGUAGCUCCAUUUUGUUUUCAUGUCCUGAUGUAGUCCCUUUGGUCUUUCCCUGCUAAUGGAAGGAUUUAUUAUUAUUAGUCCAAAAGUUCUGAAUACUCUCCUUGGCUCGGGUUCUUGUUGGGUUCUUAUAAGUUUUAUUGGCAGACAUGUUCUUUAUAUGGCUUUAGCCAUAGUAUAUGGUAAGUAAAUGAUUUUAUCUUAGUUUCUGUUGGUGAUCAUGUUUUUAUUUUAUUUUAUUUAUAGCUGCUAUAUGGUAAGUAAAUGAUACUAUUGUUUUCUUUAAUUAUUAAUAAUAACUUGUUUGUCAUAAUAAAUAUUAUCUUUUGGUAGCUUCAUUAUAAAUCAUUAUGUACAAGAUGGAUUUAGUGGUGUUCGUGCUAACAAGUACUCUAGAUAAUCAAAAAGAGAAUUUUGUAUAGAAUGUAUUAGAAAUGAAUAUAUUUUAGACUUUAAAGAAUUCUUCACACAAAUUUUAAGAUAUUUUUAAGGAUCGGGUUAACAAGGGCCCCGGCACUAGUUAAGCCGCUAAAAAUGAAAAGAAAAAUGAAAAUACACAAUUUCAGAUAAAACAUUUCCUUUUAUAAUUUCUUAACUAGGGCAUUAGGUGCACCCUAACAUUAACAUUUCCCUAUUUUUAAUACAUUUGUUUCCUUCUUUAAAUAAAAAUUUGUUUUGUUGAGUAUGUAUUUAAUAUUCAACCAUUAUAUGUAAUGAUUUUUUUAAAUUUAAUUAUUUAAAAUUAAUUUAAUUUUUGAAUUAAUUUUGCCUAACCGGUACUUUUUUUUUGUUGUGGUGGUCAGAGUUUGAACCUCAGACCUUGCAUAUAUUAUGCAUUGUUCGUACCAACUGAAUUAAGCUCGCGAGGAACGUCUAACCGGUGCCUAACAAAACUUAACAUGCGUGCUGUUUUCUCCAAAAUAAAUAUUAGGAAAUCACAAUGGGUAUUUUGGAAGAUAAAUUUAGUGGGGUGUGUGUAGAGAAAUAAUAUUUGAACAUCCAUUUGAUAACAACUUUCUCUAUCAUACUCAAAUUAUUUUUACUUUAUUUCUCUAUUGUUUUGGUUUUUGUACAAAUGUUUACUUUUCCUUUGUAAAUUAUGGUUGUGACAUAAGUUGUAAAUCAAUUUGGUUAUUCAAAUAACACUUCUCAUAUGGUAAAUAUUACCAACUCUUUGAAUUGCUACUAUGUUCAUCGUGCUAACUCAUGCAAUGUCCUUUUCACACACAAGAGUCUCUUAUGUACUCUAUACUCACUCAUAACUAUGACUUUUUACACAAACGAUUAUGUUGUGUACACAACAGAGAUCCAAAUGGAGUAUUUACAUAUUCUUAUUUUAUACAUGUACUUUAUAAUAUUGUCAUAUUAUACUUAAAGUUUAAUCUCACGGGCUUAGUCUUCUUAUUUUCACUCACUCAUGAAUUGAUUCGUUUAUUUUCUAUUUCAAGAUUUGAUUUGGUCAUUCACUGAAGUAUUUGAUUAAUAGAAGGGACACAACGCAACAAAAGGGUAGAAGCUUAUUCAUGAAAAUUGAGUGGAUAUAUAUAGCUGGCUCUGAACUUACACACACCUGUGUCGGCCACUUUAUUCCAAAACACAGAAACAUAAUAUAGUCUUGCCCCACGUUCUUUGUUGGAUGGAGUGGAAGAACUCCCAUACAUUGCCUAAUGCCUGCCAUCCAUAAAAAAAAUCUUCUAACAAAUGCCUUUAAUGGAUACAAUCAUUUUUUGGUAUUUAAACAAAUUUUAUACAUCAUUUAUUUAUAUUUUUUUUAUUGUAGUAUCUAAUAAUAGUAAUCAUUUAAUCCAGUAAACUCAACACCCUACAUAGAUUAUUUAAAUGAAAGUUAAUUUCUACUAAUAAUCUUAUAUAUCAUUAUAUUUUAAUAUUAAAAAAAGUGGUUCCCACUUAAGAUUUGAAUGUUUCAUUUACACCUUGAUACCAUUAGGUAUUUAAAAAACAAUUUCUCAAAUCAUAAAAGGGAAUGCUCCCUCUGCUUUUUUAUACGCAUUUAUUGUUAUUUUUAACAUAAGUUAAGAAAUUUUGUAAAAAAAAAAACAUAAGUUAAGAAGAAUUAAUUUUGUAUUGAUAUGUUCAUUUUAUAUACAACUAUUAAAUUACCCUUUAUGUUUAGAUGUAUUUAUAGUUGGUUUUUAUAUUUCAAAGCAAAGUAUUAAAAUUAAUCAAGGUUAUGUUUGGAAAAAAAAUAUAAAUGCAUUUAUCUAGUAACACAUAUUUAGAAACAAUUCUUGCUAUUAUUAAAAUGACAACGGUGAAUGAAAUGUAUUUGCUUAGGUGGGGGGAGGAUGAUGAGGCUUGGAAGUGGAGGCGCCGUUUAUUAACUUAGGAGGAGGAGAAAGUGCGGGAGUGCUGUGAUUUUUAACUAAUAUUGUUUUGCAGCCUAAUAUUUCAAACAUGUGGAUUUGACAUUUACACGCGUCCAUCUAAUAAGGAGGUGCCCUAAAAGUCAGUCUUUUUGCAUCAGUCAUCAACAACAACUUAGCAUUUGACAUUUGACAUUUACAUUUACAUUAGUCAACAACAACUUGGCAGUUGCACACAUAACUUAAAUUGGAAUAAGGAGGUGCCCUAAAAGUCAGUCUUUUUGUUUGGCGUCUGCUGUGUAAUUUGGUACCAACAUAAGGCAAUUCAAUUAAAAGACAAAUUUUACAACCAAAUGCUCAGUUAUGUGUGGGGGUGGAUAUGAGAUACUGAAAGAUGCAGAGCACUUAUUCCUCUCUUGUGAUUUCUUUUGUAAACUUUGGUACAAUAUAUCUAAUUGGCUUAGUUUCCACAUAGUGUAUCCUGAACAUGUGUCAGAUCAUUUAAAUCAAUUUGGCACCUUAGGAGACGAGUUUUUCCAAAGUAUUCGCUCAACUUUUAACCUCAUAUGACCAUUUUGUGUGUGAGUGAUUUGGAUUGAAAGAAAUGCUCGGGUCUUUCAUCAAUAAGAGACCUCGCCUCAUCAAUUACUCGACAAAAUUAAGCUUUAAUCAUACUGGUGGCUGAAAGAGAACCGUCCUAGCUUUGCUUUCUCUUACCAUUUGUCGUGGUUGAAUCAUUUACCAUGUUUAGUUAUCUAUCUGUAAUGAGGUGGCUUUGUUCUUUGGUCCUUUUGUAUUUGUUACUCGUUGUGUAGUAAUUGUUAAAACAAAAACAAAAACUCUUAUUUUCAGAAUAAAAUUUAUAUUAAAUGAUUCUUUAAUCGGUGUUCUUAGGACACUAGUAAGCAGAACCUUUACUUUAUAGGAUAGAAUACUACUUGAUUGACAAUACUGAUUAAUAUUCCAGUUUUACAGCGUGCUUGAUUCAGCUUGAAUGUUGAAAUUAAAUAUUGGAUGAAGGUGCACAAUGCAUGCAACUGGCAUUAGAAAAUCACCCUUAAUCUUUGUUUUUGUCACGACAGAGGUUGGAACUUUUUUUGAAAGGGACGGAGUUGGAACUUGAAGCUGCAACGUUCUACUUUGUUGACAUUCGUGAUGUUUUGUUUUUGCUUUUUUCUCUCAAAUUAAAUCAUGUCUAUAUAUUUGUCGCAGAAAGUUUUUCAAAAUAUAGUUGCAGAGAUUGACCAAGCUCCAUAUAAUUACUUGACUGCGGUAGAAGCAUGGCCGUUUUAUAAAAUUUGGUGGUUUAGAGCGAAUAUACGGUUUGAGUCAUAAAUUAUGAGUAUAUAAAAAUAAUUAAAUUUUCAAAGUAUAAAAAUAAUUUGUUUUGAAGAUGAUAGUUUUUACCACGUUAAGAAAUGACCUUACAAAAAUUCAAAAUUCAUAAAAAAAAUUGAGUUUUUUAUUUAAUAUUCAAAUGCUUAUACAAAACAUUUCAUACGGGGAAAUAUACUUACUUGGGCACAAGUCAAAAUAAAUAUAUUUGGGCAUGCACACAAAACCAUAAAAAAAUAUAAGAGAAUAAAAUUGAAUAAUGUCAAUAUUGUUAAAGUAAUUUCGUACUUAUUUUUUGGGGCAUAGGACGGUCACCCUACUCACUCUACCUCAGAUACGGCCUGGGCGGAGGACAACAUUCCUUUGGUGAAUAAUCAGGUUUGAUUUGCUUAAACUAAUUUUUUUUUUUUUUUUUUUGCGGUUGUUACUAAACCAUGUUCCGACUAAGGAUAACUUGGUAAGGCGGAAGAUUUUUCCUCAAAAUGAUCAAUAUUGUUCAGCAGGCUGCGGUUUAAUAGAAGACAUGGAUCGCCUAUUUGUUAAGUGUGAUUUAUAUGGAAGAAUUUGGUUUCUUAUUUCAAGUUGACUAGGCUUCUCAACGUCAUCUCAUGAGAAUUUAUUGGAUCAGUGUUACUGUAGUUUGUUAGGUUCGGAGCUAUUCGAAAAUUGUUAGCUUGACACUUAGUGUUAUUUAUACUUCUAUGGUUUGGAUCAUUUGGAAAGAGCGAAAUAUGUGUAUUUUCCAGCACAUGGUGGAACAUUUACAAUAAUUAAGUGAACAAUUUAAGCUUCAAUCAUUCUAGUGUUUAAAAUCAAAAUAUGUUGCUUUUAAUUUUGACAACCAUCUUUGGAGGCUGAAUCUUAUUCUUUGUUUAGUUGUUGUAAUUUACUCGUUUCUUCUCUUUUGUUGCUUUGGUUUGAUUUGUAAUAUCACUUUGUUUUUUUAUAAAUCUUUUCGGUACAUUUUGUGCUAAAAUGUCUUAUCUUAGUUGGUAAUAUAUUUCAUUUGAACCUUUAAAAAAAGAAGUUAAAGUAUUACCAUCAAUUAAAUAAAUAAGGGUCUUGUUAACGAGUGCUCCCGGGACACUCUUUAAGGAUUUUAAGAGAAUAAAUUAUUUCAUAAAAAGUCAAAUAUUUUGAUUUUCGAUGCAUUGAUUACAUAAAUUUUCAAAAAAAGUUACCAUAUAAAAGUCUCAAAGAAUGUCUCGGAAGCACUCGUUAACAUUUCCCAAUAAAUAAAUAAAUAAAUAAUUAGAGCGUAUUAUUAAUAAAGCAAUAGUUAAAGUUGCAUUGACCUUUAAACAAGAUAAAUAAAUAAGAACAAAAUUUCCAAAAAUGGUACUUAAAAAGAAAUAGACGGAUUAUGAUUAAGAAUUAAAUAGAUUUUUUUUUUGAAGAAGAUAAAAUGGAAUAUAAAAUCAAAAGCAUGGAAAAUCAGCAUAAGAAGUGCCAAAAAUCAACCGAAUAGAUUAAUUGAAAGCAUCCAUUGCUUAAAUGCUCAAGAGGGUGAAAACAUAUUCUUUGUGAUGGUUGAAGACUCAUAAACACAAUUUUGGUUUUGAUCUUUAUGAUUGUCGGACGAAUCCUUCGUAUGUUUAGGAUUUAUCACCUUGUGUUGUCGUUAUAGGCUCUUUAUCUUCUUCCUUUUCUAUUUCGGUUUUUUGUGACACUGUUGUGAGCCAUUUUUAAGCACAUCUUAGGUUUAACUUCCUUCUCUUUUUGUUUUUUAUUAUAUAUAUUGAUUCUCUUUUAGCUUCUUAAAAAAAAAUUGAUAGAUUAAAUUUGUAUUUUAAUACAUCGUUGUUUUCUAUGUUUCAUUCCACUAAAAAUAAUAUUGUUUAAGACAUAUCAGACACUAAAUAUUAAUACAUCUUUUAAUCGGGAUUCAUUCAAAUUUUGGCACACAAUGAUGUGAUAAUAAUAUAACUCUUUUGCUAAACUCAACUUGUUGAAUUGUGAUCUCCAUAAUUCAAACAUAUGAAGAUGUUUAUAUGAAUAUUAUCAACAUUACUAGUUUUUUUUGACAAGAUCAAGAUUACUAGUUGAAAUAGGUUUUACAUAUGUAAAA